rnacentral:lncRNA from 1 species
AAUUAUUAAGUGUUGAAAAUCAAAUCCAGUGGCAAGGCAAUACGCAAACUUUUUACUGUUUUUGGCACAGCGAUGGAGUUUUAGAAAUUGAACCCCAACCCCAACCCCAACCCUCAAUGAGGAGAGAGACAGAGAGACAGAGAGACAUUUCUCCAUUUGGUGGACCUUGUAAAUAUUUAAUGUUCUCCUCCAACCCAAGUGACCUAACCCACCUCAAAUUCCAUGUUCUAUUUAUUGCACCCAAAACAAAAAACAAAAAAACCAAUUUAUUGAAUUCAAACCCCACAAAUAUGAAAUCACAUCAUGUUCAUGCAUAAAUGACAAAUUAAGGGAAAAAUUAUCAAACACCUUUGAAAUAGUGAAAAACAAAGUGUGUAUAUAAAAUGGUGUCCAAUUUGCCGAAAUCUACCCAAAUUUGUGUGUUUUAUUUUUAUUUUUGGGGUGCAACACACAGAACAAACAUGAUCCAAAGUUUUUAUAAAAAAUUCUAAUGAAAUAAAAACAAGAAAAAAAAUAAUGAAUGUAGAUCAGAAGAGAAAGAAAAAAGAGUAGAAAACAAGUACUACUUACACAUGCGCUGGAAUUUUUCUUUAAGCUCAGCUUUGUGCUCACUGUUGGUGAUACGAAAGUAGUAGUCAGGGUAGGUGGCCUGAUCAACACAAUUGGGAGGAGUUGCUGUCCCAAUGGCCAACACAGUGGCAGGACCCUCAGCCCUUUGAGCCUUGCGAACUUCCUCCACGGUCACCAUUUUCAACUGAUCAACUCAAACAAAAGAUAUAUCAGAGAGAGAGAGAGAGAGAGAGAGAGGUUGUAUAAUUGUUGCAGACGCAGUGGAGAGAGAGAGAGAGAGGGAGGGAGGGUGUGACAAAAGGCUGAGACAAAUGGUUGUAUUUAUAUAAUGAGGAGGAAAAGAAGGAAAAGAGGCCUGAAGAGAGAAGAGGGUAGCUGAGAAUCACGUGCUUGACCAAUGCCUCAGUGGAAGCACCCUCCUCAACCAACCUUAAGCCUUUUAGUUUUUAGAGUUUAGAGAGCCGGCUGGCACGUGUGUGUCUUCUGAGUUUGGCGUGGCUGCUUUGCCCAUCAAACAUUCGCAUCACCAACAUGUGAAAUCUAUUUCUAUCUUACGUACUAUCACUUUGAAGCUGACAAGAAAUUAAGUAGCUAGGCAUGAAAAAUGUAUGGUUGAGGCCAUGCGACUAAGUGGAUCAUGGAAGCCAUCAAAGCCAUAAGUGAGAAUAUUGAAUUGGUCUUCGCCCACAUUACAUGAAAAAUACAUAUAUCUAUAACACGUUACAGCAUUGAAACUAUUUGAGACAAAACGUCAUCCAUGAUGAAUGAAAUAGGGCUUUUAAAUUUUGGCGUUUUCAAUAGUUACGUUGAGAAUAAUAACUGAUUCAAAAUUAGUAAUAAAGUCACGCUGAUAAAACGAUAUAGGACAAUAAUGAACAACUUUCUCAAAUUUAUUGGAAACAAUCAAUAUGUGAAUAUAUGAUAACAUAAAUUAUAAAUCAGAUACUCAACUUUAUAAUAACAAAAGUAAUUAACAAUUCAAUUCAUAGAAUCAAAGUAAAUGAAUGAGUUUAAAUAACUCACUUCAAGUAUGAUAGAGGUUUGCAUAUGCAAUGUCCAAUAUUCGCACACAGAAAUUCACUCCUUACAUAUGUAUUUUGUAGUUCUUUAGGCAUCUAUCUCCAAGGUACAACUAUCAAUAUUCAAAGUUCAGACAAUUAAACUUUGAAUUCUGGCGAACUAUAUAUGCUUUCUCACUCAAUGUGUUGAGUGAUUGUGAGUGAUCAAAAUUCCAUCCUUAUUGCAGAUUUUGGCUAAAUGCAUCACUUUGAAACAAGUUCGAACGAAUUUGUUAUUUAAUGGGAUAUCAAUAUGCCACAAGUGUGAUAUAUUUGUAACUCAAAAUGCACGUGAAAAACCAUGUGCACAACAGUCCUUCUCUCCAUUAUCGGAAAGCGAAUGGAGUGGCUGACAAAUUUGCUCACUUUGCUUUGUCGUCUCAUGGAGGUUCUGUGUUGUAUGAAUGGAUGGGAGCACCUCCUGGGUGGCUUCUUGAUACUCUAGUGCAGGAUUCUCUAUUAACUGUAUUUCAGUUUUAAUUUUCUAUAUGGGUGUGUGUGGUACUCUUUUUUACUCUAGGGUUUUGUCCCACGUGGUUUUCUCCGUGAAGGUUUUAAUGAGGUCACUCUAUACACAGUGGGGCUUUGUAAUCAUUUUCUCUAUUCAAUGAAUGAAAUCCAUUGCUUGCUGCAAAAAUAAAAAAAGGGGGCACUUGAAAUGUUAGGUUAUAAGUAUCUACAUCGCAACUUCCUUGUCCUAAUUUGAGGAACCUCCAUAUUUUAUUUAUCAUGUACUUUUUGUGGAUUUUAAUAGUUAAUAGAUGUGGGGUUAAGUGGGCCACUUUAACUUUGGGGGAGUUGAGGGGUAAAUUCAUAUUUGACAGAAAUUUCAGAGGGUACUUUAUUUAUUUAUUUUUUUGAGAUAGAGGGAUGAAAAUUUUGUUGAAAGAAAGAGAGAACUAUGUACAAAAUGACUAUAAUUGAAGACAGAGAAUUAUAUAAGUAUCUCUAUACAUCUGUAUACAUAAGGGAGAGGUCAUCGGACUAAGGAGCUUCCACUAUAGUAGCAAUUAGAGGGAUGCUAACGUGGUAGGAUCAUUAUGGCAAAUGCACAAACGAUGACUAAUUGCUAUGCAUAGUCAGCAUCCUACGUGGAAAAAUGGACCGGAAAUGCACUUAAAAUCGAAAUCUAAGCUUCUUAGUUCGUAGAUUUGGCCAAAAGAAGAAGCUUCUCAGUCGAAAGAAUUUGGAGAUUAGGAUUUGGAGUGUAUAAUUGAAGAGAGAGAGAGAGAUAUAUAUAUAUAUAUAUUCAAAAAUAUGAGAAUGAAAGAAUAUUGUAGAAAAAUAAGAAGAAUCGAAAUCUUGCAAGAAGCACGAAUAUUAAAGAGGACAAUGACGGUGCCUAGAAAGAAAUGAGGUUCUCAACCUGAGUACGGUAAAUGGCCCUUCUCUUCUGAAAUGGAAUCGAUGAAGGUGAGAGAUUUAUAGAGUGUGGUCCAUGUUUAAGCUUCUUUAUUGUCUGCUUUCUUUGUUGAGUCGGGUCCAAAGACGUUGAGUUUGAAAAGUCUAGAAUUAAAAAUUGUUGUGGUCUCCUAUGUCUUGCUAUUAUUUUUCAUGUUUACUUGUUUUAAAGGUUCUUUUAGUGCUUGAUGUCUGUUUAUUAGUAAUUUGGUGAUUGUGUUGCCUUUUUAAAAAUGUAUAUAUGACUAGGCAGUGGUUAAAGUGUGUUUUUUUAUAUUUUGUUGUGCAUAUGACAAAGGAUAGUCACAUUUGAAGUACACCAUAAAGGUAGAAUGGCAAAGUCCCCAAACCUUAAUGAGUGGUGGUUUUAUGUGGGGGGUUUGUUGAUUAUUUGGAUUGGUGUCUUCUGGACUACAUAAAUUUGUUAGAGAUAUACGAGUAUGCAAAAGAGCUUGGCUACCAUGACUAAGUGGUUUUGACAAGGAUACAAAAUGGUAAGGAAGUGUGUAUAUAUAACGAUGCUCAACUACUUGAAUGGUGUCAUUUGGUGUCUCCUAGCUUUGAAAGAGUGAUUAUAAUUUACUUGGAACACCCAACUGUUAUUAAUGUGGAUGAAACUAUAGUGGCUUGAAAAGAGAUGGAACAUAUUGUAAGAAACCUAACUGCUGAAUUUGAGAAUGAAGAUGAGGGUGAUGAACAAUCUGGUUAUGAUGGUAUGUACGAGGAGGAUUGAGGAUGAUGAGGAUGAUGAAGAGGCUAUAAACAUAGCAAUCCACAAUUUCUUCUCUCUUGCUCUCACAUGCCCAAUCUAAUCUUCAACUUCUCUCAUUGUCCUCAGCAACCAAGCCAUCAAAGCUCUCUCACGGGGAGGCAUUUCAAUAUCAACCCAUACAAAAAAAACCCACAACCAUUUUUUCCGCUCUGCAUUCAAACAAAAAUUCCAUCAUAUUCUCACAAUUUAUUAUCCAAAUUUCUAUAAAAUAGCAAGUCCAAAACCUACCUCUGACUUUGGACACACAAAGAAAUUCCAAAGUGGGUUGGACUCUGUCCAAGAAGUCUGCAUCCGAGCAAGCCUCCCACAGUAGCAAUGAGGUGCAACAAUGACCAGCUCUUCUCCUCGUCGAGGUUCGUGCCUCAUCUUCACACCCUUUAAAGUAAGAAAAUUGGAGAAAUUUUUCUGUCAAUAUAGAACCUUCAAUCCUUGAAAUGGUGGUAAGUAAAUUUUUUUUUUUUCUAGGUUCAAAAACCUUUUUAUCGAAGAAUAAGAGAGCAUAUUGUUAAUUGAGGUCCACUUGACCCCUUGAGCUGCUAAGAUUUCAAUUUAAAAAUCAUGUGGGGUCCAUUUUGCCACGUAGGAUGCUGAUUAUGCUCAUCAAUUGGCCACCGUGUGUGCUUUUACCAUAAUGACCCUGUCACGUCAGUAGUUUUGACAGUCUUUUGGAUGACGUUAAUGGUGAGAGAUAAAGUAUAACACAAAACCACAAUAAAAGGGGUUAAGUGGACCACUUUAACUUUGGAAAGUAAAAUAAGAUUUGAUCGAAAUUUCAAGGGAUAAUAGAAUAAAGAAACUUAAAAAAUGGCAUGUUUAUAUUAAGAGAGAUAAACUUUUUUGUUAGUUUUGAGAGUCAACCGUUAUUUUUAUUUUUUCUUGUUGUGUAUCCGAUGGUUACGAUAUGUUUUUGAAAAAGGGUGUGAGCAAUAAUUUGGGCGGGGAGGUGGGCGAGUGAAACAGUAGUUGGAUGAUUGCAUGACCCCAAAUAAUUAAAUUAUGAAAGAAAGAUUAAGAAGUGUGGUAGUUUGGGAUUCCCUCGCAGACCGGCGUUAGUUGAGGACAAACAUAAAGCUUAUGUUUAUUUUUGUUCUUCAUUAUUCCACUUGUGACUUUUAUAUAAAAUUAAUGAAUCAAUCAAUCCAGUCCAGCUAAUUACUUGGAUUGGAUUUGUCCUAGAACAACAACUGUAGAUAUGUUUUCAAUGUGAGACACGAGAAUUUCAAUCGUUUCAUUCUCUUUUAUUUAUGUGGUUAUAAUUUGAAACUGUUUACCUUCUAAGAUAAUUUUUGUAAAUAAAAAAAUUGUAUAGUCGUCAGUAAAACAUACAUAACAUGUGCAAUAGAAGCAAGCAAACACAUAACAUGUGCAAUGCAAGCAAACACACGAUGAGCCACAUCAUUAUUAAUAAUAAUAUGGCCUCUUCCAAAUUAGACAUGACGUGGGCUUCUUCUCAAUUGCCUCCACACACAUGCCAAGCAUUCGUUCUCUGCAUUGAGUUCCAUCCUCUAGCUUCUAUACAGUACUGAGCUCUUUAUUUUCUCUGCCUUAAGGUGCCACACAUAAGGAUUUAGUACCAAUUUCAUAAGCCACUAUGAAAAAGAAAAUGGAGUCAAGUCGUUGUGGACAAUUACCUCCGCACAAAAGGCUACAAGUUUUGCAGAGGUGAGUUAAAACUGUCCGUCUAUUUACGCUCGAGUUUGAUUUCUUCUUUGUAAAUUAGACCACACUAUAACACUAAAGCAAUAAUUUAAAUGCUGAAUUGCCCCUGAAACUAUCACCUAAUUUUCGAUUUUCUAUGAACUUUUUCGCCAAUUUUCCCCCUACCCUCAAAUUUCCUAACAUUUCAUUCACUUCUCCAUCAAUAUUAGGUGAGAUGCGAAGAUUAAUAGUAUUUGUUUGUCUGCUCGUUUUUUAAUAACAUAAACUGUGGUCUCAAGCAUUGAAGAGUAGCUAAGCAAUUAUAAAAAUAUAUCUAGGGAAAAUCAUGGAAUAUAUAUAUUAAUUAUUCAUCAAUACAUGGUCCCCUUUGUCUUCAUGAACGUAGUAAACACAGCCAUUGUACCAAAGUUCACCCCAUGACGCCCACUUAGGUUUUAAAGAGGAGAAAAAUAAAAAAGAAGAAAAUAAAUCCGGAAAAACCAAAGAAGAAGUGGAGCCAAUACAUAUAGAAGAAAGCAUACGAAAUGAAUCAACAGUGACGAUGUUCACGGCUUCAAGCAUUCAAACCCACACUGUGAAGCACGACGGUUUCCACAGUGAGCCCAGGGCCAAACCCGAAUAGCACACCCCAAUCCAGCCCAUCUCCGGUGGUUUUUAGUCCUUUCUCGGCAGCCCUCUUCCUAACCUCAUCCAAAAUAAACAGCACACAAGCACUGGACAUGUUUCCGUACUCAGAUAGUAUGUGUCUUGUCGCCUCUAAUUUCUCAGGCUUCAGGGAUAAUUUGGACUCUACCUGGUCUAGAAUUGCUGGGCCACCUGGGUGUGCAAUCCAGAAUAGUGAGUUCCAAUCCGAGAUGCCCAAAGGUUGGAAGGCCUCGUUCAGACUCUUCUCGAUGUUCUUCGAAAUAAGCCCGGGAACAUCCUUGAGCAGAUGAAAUGUAAGCCCAACUUCACGGAGAUGUCCGUCGAUGGCUCCGUCACUGUCGGGAAGGAUGGUUUGGGCUGCUGACACCACUUCAAACAGGGGCUUCUCGAUCUCGGGAAUUGGGUCCGAACCCACAAUAAUAGCUGCUGCACCAUCACCAAAUAAGGCCUGGCCAACUAAACUGUCAAGGUGGGUGUCACUGGGCCCACGAAAGGUGACCGCUGUGAUCUCCGAGCACACAACGAGAACACGGGCACCCCUGUUGUUCUCGGCCAAGUCCUUGGCCAACCGGAGCACCGUGCCGCCGGCAAAACAUCCUUGUUGGUACAUCAUGAGGCGCUUGACGGAUGAGCGUAGGCCCAAGAGCUUGGUGAGCUGGUAGUCCGCCCCAGGCAUGUCCACACCACUGGUGGUGCAAAAGACCAAAUGGGUAAUUUUGGAUUUGGGCUGGCCCCAUUCCUUAAUGGCCUUGGUGGCAGCUUCUUUGCCGAGUUUUGGAAUUUCAACAACCACCAUGUCCUGCCGGGCGUCAAGGGAAGGUGCCAUGUACUCACACAUACUUGGGUUCUCUUUUAGAAUUUCUUCAGUCAAGUACAUGUAACGCUUCUUGAUCAUAGAUUUGUCACCUGAAAAAAGCAUAAACAGAAAAGUUACUUCACAGUAAUUCAAUGUUUCACUCCAUUUGUAGACAGAUAAAAAAAGGUCAAAAGAAAAGAUUGUUUGCCACUUUGAUGACUGAACAAAAUGAAUUCCCAUUUUGUUAUAUUCACAGAUAUGGAACUAUAUCAUGCAUAAAUAAGAACACCUUGCAAUAAGUGCAUAUAUAUAUAUAUAUGGUACUUACACAUGCGCUGGAAUUUUUCUUUGAGCUCAGUUUUGUGCUCACUGUUGGUGAUACGGAAGUAGUAGUCAGGGUAGGUGGCCUGAUCAACACAAUUGGGAGGAGUUGCAGUCCCAAUGGCCAAGACUGUGGCCGGACCCUCUGCCCGCUGAGCCUUGCGAACUUCCUCGACGGUCACCAUUUUCUCCGAUCGUCAAGAAAGGUCAAGGAGGCUAGGAGCUGGUUGUGGUGUGUUUACAGUUGUAAUGGUAAGUAAGUUUGAGAAAAUGUUAAGAGAAGCAGUUGUAUUUAUAUAAUAAGGUGAAGGAGAGGUAGCUAGGUAUCACGUGCCUGACCAAUUCCUGUGUUAGAAGGGCUUAACCACCAAAGGGCAGAAGGGCCUUGCUGGCACGUGCGUUUCUGUGUGGUGUGUGUUGCCUACUAAAAUCUGCAUGAUUUGGAAUGCGUGUGUUCUCUCGUCUUACCUAACAAACCAAAGGGCAGGACAUCUUUCAUAGUCCUAGACUCCUAGACUCCUAGCUAGUAGAAUUUCUUGUUUCUGAUCCGACGAGUAGGAUUGGUUUUGAUAAAGAUAAUAACAAUAAUUUAGGGGGUGUUACCGCGGUAGGUAGAGUGACACACACAAACAGCAUAGUUCCAUGAACCUAAAUUCAGAAAGAAAUAAUAAUAAUCAGAACAUCGUUUGAGGGCAUUAAUGAUCACACGGGUCAAUACAUACACAUGAAGUGAAGAUGAUGAUCGGGUUUGGGUAGUUUAGUUAGAGAAAAUAAAUAAAUCAAUCAAAACAAGCAGCCAAUCUAGACUGUCCUCUAACCAAACUAAUUAGGUGUAUAGAACAUGCCAGAUUAAUUAUUGGACUGGACAUGACACGAGUGAUGAGUGGGCUAAUAUCAUCUACCCAGUUAAUUUCUUUACCUUCUGUUUCAUCACCAAAUAUGCACCAUUAAUUUAUCUGGAUUUUGGGUCUUUUUGUUUAAAUCUAUUUGAAUUGGGUAAUGAUUUCCCCACUUCAAUUUUAUCCACUUACACUCCUUUUUUAGUUAUAAAAUGGAGUGUAAGUGGAUAAAAUUGGAGUGGGGAAAUCACCACUCUUUGAAUUUUGUCUUUUGUUUGUUUGUAUGUUUUCUAUUGUAGGUCUUUUGUAACUUUUGUUGUUCUUGGAUGUGUCUCGCUGUCAUUGGGAUGGUUGCGGUGUGGUGUUGUCGACCCAACUUUUCUCUUUGGCUUUCGUUGUGUUUUUGACGCAAGUACUGCAAUCCACCGUAGACGCCAUGAUUUUGUUGCAGCUUUUGGUCCAAUCAUAUAGAAUUUGCUCCAAUUCAGUGUUUGGAGUUGAAAAGGUGAUUGUUGCUGGUUUGCGUUAGAUCGGGUUUUGCCUGUGCAAAAUAAGAGGUUUAGCCAUGUUGGUGCUACGAGUCUCUUUGGUUUGCUGAAGAGGAAGUGGUGCGAUGUCCUUAUUUCUGUGUUUAUUUUAGUAUAAUAAUUCUCAGAAACUCAAUAGGAGUUUGAUGAUAUACGUAUUUAGUGUUAGAUUUUUUGAUGCAGAUUUGCCAUUAUUGCCGUUGCGCAGUGGAUCUGUAUUGUAAGUCUAUUUGUCUGCCAAAUUAGAGUUUUUAGGUUUUUCUGGCAUGCGUAAUUCUCUCUAGAUCAAACCAAUUUAUUUUUGUGUUUGGUCACUAGAGAUGUUGUACUCAUAUUUAGCAUUGCGACUACUCUGUACUUUUUUCUGUGUUAUUAAUAAAAUUACUAUCGCUUUAAAAAAAAAUAAAAAUUGCACCACUGAUUUUACAUGCACUGUUAUGAAAAUGAAACCAAUCUCCAUCCACUCAAUUACAUGCAAUCAUUCACAAGAGCUCCAUAUCAUUAUUGCUUAAUAAGGCCCCCUCCAUCACAUUCACCUUAAGCAUUGCAUGUGUCCUGUGAAUGGUAGGCGUUAGGUUUGGCUACUCUGCUUCUAAAUUUAUGCCACUAGAUCUUUAUUUGGUCUCUAAACUUUUUUAAUCACUUAAUUAAGGCAAGUGAAUAAUACCUCACUGUACAUUUAUGUUUCCACUCCUCAUAAAUAAUGGGCUACAAUCAAAUUACUUCAAAUAUUCCCUCCUAAUCUCCUAUAGCUCGAAUAAAUGAAUUUUAUUAUACAUAAUAUCCUACAAUUAUAUUUAAAGCUUACUUUAUAUCCUCCAAUAGUAUAGAUGUAUAUGUAUACUAUAUAUUCUAAUAGGUACAAUACUCAUAGAAAAAAUGUGUUGCUUUAAUAUACCUACAAGGCUUAAUAUCACAAAACGUCUCUAAGGUUUACGAAACUAUCAGAUUGCAUCCUUAAUGUUUCUUGUGUCAUUCGUGGUCUUCAAAGUUAGUAUGUGAGAUCACAAAUGGUCCCUGUGAAAUUUUAUGAAUUUUAAAUUAAAAAAUUUCAUAGGGACCAUUUGUGAUAGAUGCGUGAACCUCAGGGAUAUUUUGUGAUAUAUAUAGAUAUAUGCCACGUCAACAAACUAACGGAGUUUUUUACGGAACCUAAGGCAUGAACCAUUUGUGAUUACACAUACUAACCUUGAGGACCACGAAUGACAAAAAAAAAAUAUUAAGGAUGCAAUUUGAUAGUUUCGUAAACCUUAAGGACGUUUUGUGAUAUUAAGCAUACUUACAAUAUACCCAUAAUAGGUAAAUUACAAAUUAUAUUAUUGCACAAUAGUCAAUUAUUAGGUAAAUUAUAUCCAAAAUGUGUUUAUAAAAGUUGGGUAUAUUAUUUGAAUAAUAAUUAAAUUCAUACUAGGUACAUUAUUUUCACAAUAUAUUGUGAAAAGUUGGGUAGGUAAAUUCAUACUAAGUACAGAAUAGUCAAUGUACCAAUAAAAGUUAGGUAGGUAAAUUAUUUUCACAAUAUACCUAUAAAUGUGUUGUCUUUAAUAUACCUACAAUAUAUCCAAACUUCAUCAAGCUUGGGAUCUUCUUGAAAAUGGGAAGAUCUAGGAUAAGCAGCCAACCUCCUAGAGAGAGCGAUGUGCAUGGACCAGGUGAGUAGGGAUGCAGCUUCGCAGACCACUCGUCGUGCCUGAUAGGUCUAAUAGGUAAAUUAUUUUCACAAUAUACCCAUAAAUAUGUUGGCUUUAAUAUACCUACAAUAUACCCAUAAUAGAUAAAUUACAAGUUAUAUUAUUACAUAAUAGUCAAUUAUUAGAUAAAUUAUAUCCAAAAUACGUUUAUAAAAGUUGGGUAUAUUAUUUGAAUAAUAAGUAAAUUCAUACUAGGUACAUUAUUUUUCAUAAAAGAAGUAAUGGGUGCGUUAUUUUUUCAACAUAAAAAUGUAUGUUUGCUAUUAUAUUUAUAAAACAAUAAUACAAUAGAUAAUUAAUCACAUAUACUUUAUAAAUCAAUUUUAAAAAAUAAGAUUAAGUAUGUUAAAUAUAAAUUUAUUGUUAAAUUUAAAAAAAAUUCCAAAUUAAUUUCUACAUCCAUUUGGAGAUCUUUCCAAAUUCAACGUGUGUCAUGAGUUACAAUCCAAUUAAAAUUUGUUUCUAUGUUGGUUCCUACAUGUUGAGGCCCAAAAAAUCACGGGAAGCCCAAAGACAUUUAAAGCCCAAUAUAAUAUAUAAUGUCGGUCAUGCGUUAAUCCAAGCUGUAUUUUGGGAUUUAAUUCAUUAAAUAUAUAAAUAGAAAUAGUGUACAUGCCAUGCCAAACUAAUAAUACAUUUUUCCCAUGUUAAUCACCUAUCAAGCUCACAUGAACUCUAGUCAUGUGGUUUAUGGGGCUUGCAUGAGGGAUUGUGGUGUGGAAGGUUACGGAGGUCCACAAGGCCCACGAAAACUCUUGGAUAAUGUAGACUUUGGGCUAGCUACUUGGGAGCACCAAAGUCCAAGCCCAUUACUUAGAGUUCUCCAAUGUGGGUGAGUAAAUGAGAUACUUUUCAAGCACUUUCUUUUUACCCAUAGGAAAUAGUCAUUUUCCAAAUACCUAGCUUUAUCCAUUGGAAACAAACCUUUUCCAAUACUUCCUAUUAUCCACUGGAAACAAGCAGUUUCCAGUGCUUCCUUUUACCCAUAGGAAAUAAUCAGUUUAUGGUACCUAACUUUACCUUGUGGAAAAUAGCAUGCCAUAGUGCUCCCUUUUAACCACUUGAAAUAGGCUGGUUCCAACACCUCCCUUUACCUAUUGGAAAUAAAGGAAAACCCUCACCCUUUAUAAAUUAGCAUUCAUGGCUCAAGCAAAAGGGACCAAUUUUUCUUCAACCAACACUCCCUCACUUGGCUGUUGCAAGCAUCCCAGCAGCCAUCAACCCUCUUCAGCAACCACCAGACUACUUUCCUUCCUCCAUUCAGUUUCUGCAAGCAUUCUAGCGGCCAUCCCUGCCAUUCCUCAGCCAUCACAGCCAUGUCUUCUACUUUCUCACCCUUGAAGUCCAUCAUCUUCUCCAUAAAGCCUCACCAAGCAUAACUCUAAGCUUUUCCUUCCUUCCAAGCUAUAAACGUCAUAGCUUUCAAGCCUCAAGCUUUUCCUUUUAUCCUCCCACCUCUAGAACUCAUUCAUUUGAUUGCUAUAAGUAUCCCAACAACCAUCAUAGCUAAACAAUCAAACCACCAUAGCCAUAGCUUCAAAUAAUAAAUUCUCAACACUCAAACUCAAGUAUAGCAAACAUCAACCCUAGCACAAGCAUUCUCAUUUGCUAAACUUGUGGGUCUUUAACUCCUACACUCUAAGCUCUCAUGCCAAGCUCAUAUAAUCUCAUAUCAACAUCAGCAAGUCAUCGUCAACUUAGUCAGAGCAAGCAACAUCCUUACUCAUUGCUGGAAGUUUCAAUCUCAAGCCGUGUUCUUCCAUAUUCUUCCUCUCCUUCCCAUAAACACAUACAGAGAGAGCAAGCAUCACCAUUCACCUCUGGAACCCUUCGAUUUCAAGCUAUGUUAUUCCAUUUCUUCCAUUUUUUCUCUUCUGGCGAGCCACCCAAGAGUUUGACAAAGCUUUCGUCAAGUUGCUGGAAAUCUACUCAAGCCACCCAUCUCUUAUAUAUAUAUAUAUAUAUAUAUAUAUCUCUCUCUCUCUCUCUCUCUCACUCUCAAAAUCUCAAUCCCAUAUUUGAAACACCUAACCUCUCAUGCCUAGUCUAGUAGUAUCUCAAUUCACAAAGCAAACUCUCAUGCCAAGUUUGUGUAACAUCAAUGCACCAUCUUCAACUCUUCGUCAAGCUGCCGGAAACAUCCGCACAAAACACGCAGUCGCUGGAAUAAGAACAAAGUACUCCCCUGGGACUUGCUUCUCCCUCGGGAUACUUUGGGCCUAGUUCUCACUAACUCAGAAAAGGGGCAACGAAGCCCGGAUGAGCCUUCCGACGGAAAAAGACCCCAGCACUACAUUAAUAUACAAAAUGCAAUAAUGGCUUAGUUGGGGGUAUGUUAGGAAUAAAAAAAGUACAAUAAAUUUGAUUUUGUGCUUUAGAAAAGACAAGAUUUUAUUCAAACAAAAAUAAGGAGAUAAGUUGUAAAGUUGAGGGAAAAUGACUUUCAAGGGGUUAAGCUAAAUUUACUUUUUUAUUUUAUUUUUUAUUUUUAUAAUACAAGUGAUAUAUAGUCUAGAUGUCAUGAGCAGUGGCGGACCCAGUAUUUUUUUCUAUAUGUGGGCAUAACAAAGAUAAAAUACGAGACACAAGUGCAAAAAUUCAAGAGACUUUAAAAAUUGAUAACAUGGUAAAUCAAUACAUUUACAAUUGCCUCCUACGAGUUUUCAUGUUUUGAAAACGUUUGACAAUAAGCUCAUUAUCAAUUUCAUUGAAUAUGUCUUUCUCAAGAUAUACAACCAAGUUAUCGUUCAUCUAUUGAUCUUCCAUUCAAUUGUGCAACUGAUUCUUAAUAAAGUUCAUACCAGAAGCAAAGGAUCCACUAGUGUAGUGGUUUGGAGUAUUUACUCCCUCAAGCAAGGUCCUGGGUUCGAGUCCUAGCAUCCGUGUUGUGUGUGUGAGUUUAAUAUGCUAUCGUCCCUUUCAAUAGGAAAGGUCCUAAAAUUUAUAAAUAAAUAAAUAAAAAAAGUUCAUACCAGAAAAUACCCUUUCUACAGAAGUUGUAGCAAUUGCAAGUACCAAUGCCAAUGUUAUGAGUAAAUACACUAAUGAAUAUACUUUAUGAUUUCCUAUCUCAACUAAUUUUUUUUGUAAGACCAGAAAUUCCUUUCAAACCUUGAAACUUGGUAUUGGAAUGCAUAUCAUCAAUAUAAUUCACAAGUUGAAUUUCAAGUGCCAUGAGUUGAUCAAUAGAAAAAUUACUUGGGUAGAGUUCAGCAAGGCGUAAGCUAAAAAUGAAUUAUUUAGACUUAAGCAUGUCAAGCAAGUGUUAACCUCUGUGAAACGAUUCCUUAGCUCUUGAAGUUGCAAAUCUAUCACAUCAUAGAAAAGAUCAACACGAUAGUAAUGCAAAAGUUUAAUUUGUUGUGCCCUACGCCGUGAUCGCUCUCGAGCUACAAACAUAAUAUCAAUACUAGGAACUUCAAUAUUUUGCUUCACAAAAAAGGAAGGAAACUUGCUCUAAUUAAUAAAGAAUCCCAUCCAAUUCCUCUCAUAUUUUGCAGGUUUCGCUUGCAUAUUUCAAUUAAAUCCAUGGCAUUCACAAUAUCUUGAUCAUCCUUUUGUAAGGCUUGCGAUAACUCAUUUUUAAUUCCAAGUAUAAUCAUUAUCAAAUGCAAACUGAACACAAAAUCAAAUGAUUGCAGCAACCCUAACCUAAUAAAUGCUUCAUGUUUCUGAUUAGUGCCCACUUUAUCAUAUGAAUUUCCUAUAUCCAUCAAUUAUAGAUAAAAAUAUGGUAACAAAGUUAAUCAAAGUACCAUAGUGUGAGCCCCAUCAAAUCAAGUAUCACAUGGAUCUUUAACUCCAAUUUCUUGAUUCAUCACAUGGACCUUUAACUCCAAUUUCUUGAUUCAAGCCUUGCCUACUUAAGAGCUCGCCAUUGCUAAGUGCUUCAAUAACUUUGAGAGCUUGUUUUUCUCGUAAAAUGUCAAGAUAUUUUGAUGAUGCCCCAACAAUAUUUAGAAAACUAAGGUGAAGAAAGCACCAGACUAUGGUUUUUUGCUAAAGACACAAGAGCCAAUUGAAGUUGAUAAGCAAAGCAGUGAACAUAAAAAGCACAUGGACUCUCUUUCAUAAUAAGUGUUUUCAAACCAUUGAACUCUGCAUUCAUAUUACUUGCUCCAUCAUAACCUUGACCACACAAUCGAGAUAUGCUUAAAUGAUGUCUAGCAAAUAAUGCAUCGAUCGAUAUCUUCAGUGUGAGAGAUGUUGUAUUAGCCACAUGUUCAAUACCAAUGAAACAUUCAAUCACAUACCGUUUCUUGUGAACAUAACGAAACAUAACAAAGAUUUGCUCCUUUACGGAUACAUCACGAGAUUCAUCAACAAGAAUAGAAAACAAGGAAUCACCCAUAUCACUUAUAAUAGCAUCAGUUGUUUCAACUGAAGCAACAUUAACAAUGUCUUUUUGAAUCUUUGGUGAUAUCAACUUGAGGUUGUCAUAAGAAUUUUUCAGUGUUACUGCUCUAACUUGUUCAUGGUGAUAACAAAGGAAUUGUAAAAGCUCAAGAAAGUUUCCUUGGUUGCUUGAACUGAACUUCAAAUAUUUUUCUCUCCUUACAAUUUGAAAAUCCUUCACCAAUAAAUGCUUCACCACUUCCUUAUUCUCCACCAUUUGAUUUAAACAGAUAACAACAUAAACAAAAUGCAUAAUUUUUUUAUACACUAUAUUCCAACCAAUUAGGAAAAUCAUCAAACCAAGAAGAGAUGAACUGUUGUUUACCAUUACCAAAUUUCUUAAAAGGGAAUAUAUGACUCCUAGGUCCACAUGGACCCUUUUGUAGAUAUGCUCUUUAGAUUUGAUCUCGAAUAUAUUGUAAUCUAAAAUUUGAGUUUGUAAUCCAUGAUCUAAAGGAAGAUAUGCCACAUUGACUUCCAUAUAACUUUGUUUUGAACUACCAACCUCCAAAGGAGUUUACGACUCCAGCACUGAUUUUCUUUUAAAAUUCUUUUUCAUGAAUGUUACAAAAAUUAAUCUAUUUAGAAUUAAUUAACAGGUUAAUAGUUAAUAUCAGCCCCGAUCUCUUGGACCCCUGUGAGUGACCACAAAUAUCUUGGACCCCUGUAGUCCAAGAGAUCGGGACUGUAGUUAAUACAUGCUACAACCUAUAUGUAACAAAAAAAAAAGCAUAUAUUAUGUAUGAAGUAAUUUUAAAUCAAGUUCACAUAAUUUUAAAUAAUUCUACAUAAUACAGAUUAAUAAAUAUAUUAGUGUAAGAGCAUCCACAAUGGGCUCCCUAAAUCACCUUCUUAGACAAAAUUUAGGGAGGAUUUGAAAAAAUACAACUCCAACCAUGCUCCCUAUCCACCUCCUAAAAUAAGGAGACCUCUAGGAGCUCCUAAAUCUAAGGAGAGAGAAAGGACUUCUAGUGACUCCCUAUAAUUUAACGCCUCUUUAUUUAAUUAGUAUUUCAAACCUUUAAUUAAUGUUAAUUAUUUUUAUAUUAUUUUUUAAUAAAGAUGGACCAAUUAAAAAAGAGUUAUAGCAUUUAUGACUCCCUAAACUAGAAAGCAUGAUUGAAGUUUAAAUUUUAUAGAGGGCUCCUAAAAUAACUUUUAUAUGUUUUUAGCUAAAAUUUAACUAAAAAAUAGAGAGCAUGAUUGUGGAUGCUCUAAGGAAGAGAAGAUCAAUUACUAACCUAGAAGAAGCAAAAGAUUAAUAAACAAAGAUGAAUUCUCUUUGAAUAAUUGAUGGCAUCCACUCAUUGGCAUUGGUUGCUCUCAAGUAUUGAGGAUCAGAAAAAGGAAAAAAUUCAGGGAUCUGGAUCCUCUGCUAUGAUAUGCUUUAUUUUCGUUCAAAACAUGAUACCUCAUUAAAAUUUAAUCUAAGAGAUUUAAACUGGACACAUCAUCCACAAAAUAAAAACCCAAUUUACUCUUAAUUAAAAAUGAAAAAAAAAACCUAACUUGACUAACUCCAACUUAACAUCAGUUUUUUUUUUCUUCUUCCUUCCUUCUCUGUGCGUCCUCCCCCACACCCAAGCCUUGUAACUUUCUUAGAAAUUGAACCAAAUGAUUUGGAAUUUGUGGAGGUCAAGUAGCAACAAAGUUUUUUAUCCGGCCGUAUGCUCCAAAAGAUAAUUAAAGAAAGCUCAGGAUUUCUUUACUAUAUUUGGUUUCUUUCAUGUUUUUAUCCAAUUCAUUUAAUUUAAUUUUCCUGUUGGGUUUUGGGUUAAGGUUGGCAUUCAUAAUUCUUUUCGUUUUCUUGGAUUGCUUGAAGUUGUUUGGGUGCUCUGAUCUUAUUUGCUCAGAGUUCAAUCAUAUCUUAUAUCGACCUAUUUCCAUGGUUAAUAUCUUAAUAUUUAACACCAAACAACAAAUAUAAAAAGAGUUUUAGUACAAAAACAAGACAGUCUCGCAAAUUGUAGAAGGAAAAAUUAGAGAGAGAAAAAGAAUUAGGGAAGGAAUAGAUGGACGACAGCUCAAAUUUUGGGGAGAACGUGCAGAGAAGGGAAAAACAAAGAAGGAAAAUAGAACAGUUAGACAUGUUAGAGAUGUUAGGUUGGAGUAAUUGGAGUUAGUCAACUUAGGGUGAUUUAUUUUCAUUUUUUUAAUUAAGUGUAAAUUGGGUUUUUAUUUUCUGGAUGAUGUGUCCGGCUUACAUCCCUUAGAUUAAAUUUUAAUGAGGUGUUAUGUGGAGAACGAAAGUAAAGCAGAUUAUGGCUGAGAAAAUCAUAGCAGAGGAUCCGGAUCCAAAAUUUAGAGAAAGUGAGAGAAAGGCAGCCUUCACGUAAGUGGCUUUCUAGAUUUCUUUUUAAAUUAAUUUUUUAAUAAGUGGAUAAGUGUGUGUGAGCCUUACCACUAUGUAUAUAUAUGGAUAAUAAAAACUUGAGGGUGGACAUGUCCAUACUGGGCAUGAGUUGGAUCUGCCACUGGUCAUGGGUGUUUUCACACACACACUAUAAGGUGCCAUAGUGAUUCAAACCUAAGACAACUAGCCUACAAGUCAAUGUUCUUUUCUACUUGACUAGACCCCAUUGACUAAUCACUAGUUUUUAUUUCUUGUGUACAUGUCAUUUUUAAAUUGGACUAUUGACGGGUGCCUAUUAUUGUUGGUGCUCAUAAUUCAGAUGAUUUAUGUAUACAUGUGUGUGUCGUCGAUAUUUUUUUUUUUGGUUUCCUUAGUUUGUUUUUAUUUCUGUAAGUAAUUGUUUCUUUAUUAUAUUUUAAUGAUCAAGUUUCUUUCUAUGAAUUAUUCAGAGCAGCCAACAAAAUAUAUAAAUAAAAAGAAAGAGUUUUUCAAUUUAAACAUAGUAUAUGUCUAAUGUUGAUACAUACCAAAUCUUUGUAAGAGACCAAGGAGCCCAAAAAGAGAAGAAAAAUACCCAAUAAAGAAGCCCAUAAAGUAGUCCAAUAUCAAAAGUGUUUUGACUCUAGGUUGGACUCGACCUAAGGUUACCAUGUUAGGAUUUUAGAACUAGGAUUCUGGCUUCAAAGUAUUUGCGAACCUAACCAUAGUACGUUAGGAUCGAACAUAUGACUUGAUUUAGCACAUCUUUUUUUUUUUUUUUUGGAAUCAUAGCAUUAUGCAUAUACCUCCUCCUUCGUUGCUUUUCGAACCCACCUUGAUAAGAUGGUCAUUCAUGCACAGAACUACACUCAUUGUAUGAAUUAAACUAUAACAACUAAGAGUACAAGAAUUGAAUCUUACAUGAGGAAGGUUUAUACUCUUUUCAGCACCAAAUGCUUUAACUAGAAAAUAGGACUAGGUAUUUUAUAACGUGUAUUGCUGUGAGAGUAGGGACCUCAAUAUAUAAGAAUACAACGCAAAUCAAACCUCUUUUUCCAACCGUGUCCAAAACUGGUGAUUUGUCCCCUGAACUUGUACCUAACCUUCAAUUUACCUCAUAUCCUUUUUUUAAAAUAGAAAAUUAAGGAUAUGAACUUUUUUCCCCCUCCAAUUUCCCCCUUGCCGUCUAAAUCCGCAACAUUUCAUCCAAUUUGCUGUUAAACAUUUCAUCCAAUAGAAAAUUCAAAUAAUACUCUCUCUCUCUCUUUUGCAAGUGCAGACUAGGUUCUGUGGAUGGGGGGCAGGAGCAGGGAUCUGUUGCAACCGCCGGGGAGAAGGGGAGGGAUAGGUCUGGGUCUGGAGGCAAGGGCUGGGGUAUGGGUCUCGACUGGGGUAUGAGAUGCAAAUUUAGAUGCACAUAUAUAUCUUUUUUUACAUCUCUUACAUGUGAGACCUACAUGAAAAAAUAUGAGAAAAAGUGGACGAAAGUGGGACCUACAGCAGAAAAGGUGAAAGAAAUCAAUUAUACAUCUUUAGAUUUACAUCUUUCCCACUGGAGCAAAAAUUACAUUUACAACCCUCGAAAGUGUAAAGGAGAUGUAAAAAUGGCUUUACACUCCCCAAAAAUACACUCUACCACUGUGAAUGCUUUAAAUUGAGCUUUAUCCAACAUAUUGCCCAAUCAUUGAGGAUGGCCUAAGUAUAUCAUUUUUAAGAGAGAGAAACAAAAUAAUGUGUUUGAAAACUCACACGUCACUUUCUUUAAAAAAAAUAAAAUUAAAAAAAGAAAAUCGCAUGUCACACUGGGCCACCCAACCCCACAAAGAAACAAAACGCAACCUGAAUGAAACUCAUCUAUCAACUCCAACCCAACGCAACCCAACCCAACGUUCAACUCACGAGGAAACAGCAUUAGAUUUUAGCUGUUUCUCCUUCUUCGCUAAAACCCUUGUUAACUCUCCCACUCCCCUCCCCUUCUUCCUAAACCCGACUCCACCAUUCUCUCUCCCUCGCGCCUCAUAAUGCAAGCCACUCUCCUCCUCACUCCAACUCCAGGCGCCACCGUCUUCAAAUCCCUAUUCCCGCCAUCUAAUGGGCCCCACCACCUCAGACCCCAAUUCUCCAUCAGAGCCUCCAUUUCCGAGACUGCCCAAUCUCCACCGUCCAUCACCGUGGACUCACCACCGCUGACCCAGAAGCUCAACAAGUUCAGCUCCCGCAUCACGGAGCCCAAGUCCCAAGGUGGGUCCCAGGCCAUUCUACACGGAGUGGGGCUCUCCGAGGACGACUUGAGCAAGCCCCAGAUCGGCAUUUCCUCUGUGUGGUAUGAGGGGAACACUUGCAAUAUGCACUUGUUGGGGCUGUCAGAGGCUGUGAAAGAAGGAGUGAGAGAGGCUGGCAUGGUGGGCUUCAGGUUUAACACUGUUGGGGUCAGCGAUGCUAUCUCUAUGGGGACUAGAGGGAUGUGCUACAGCUUGCAAUCUAGGGACUUGAUUGCUGAUAGCAUUGAGACUGUUAUGGGUGCUCAGUGGUAUGAUGGCAAUAUCUCCAUCCCCGGUUGUGACAAAAAUGUGCGUAAGUUUUCUGGGUUUAAACUAAAUUUAUGAUUAUUAUUUUUAAAAUAUAUGAAGUUAAUGGGUUUCCAUGUCUUAUGUGACGAAGAUGUGAGAAAGUUUCUCUCUCUCUCAGUUGGGUUGAACUAAAUUUGUUAUUUUUUUCGUUUCCUUAGUGAUUAAUGGGGGUUUUGGGUUCCUUUCUCUUAUGUGAUUAGAUUGUGUUCCUGGGUUUUGGAUGAAAAUGUGGGCCUUUCUGUUAUUCUGUUAUUGAGUUUUCUACGAUGGCUAUUUAAAACUUUUUGAGUGUAACGUGAUUUCUUGGUUGAUGCUUCUGCUUCUUUUCUGAAAUGGGGUACCUGUGCGUGUUGAGAAAAAUGUGAGCAUUUGACAACGUUUGUAUGGGAGCUAUAUUUGGAUGACUGUGUAGGGUCGUUCAUUUGUUCGUAGAUUAAGCAGAGUGUUUUCUACUAAGAGGCAAUUCUAUAAAUUCAACUUAUUACUGUGUUACAUCUCGUCACUCAUAAUGCGCUUUCCUAAGCCAUGUGAUUUCAGUUGCAUCCUUAUUAGUCGUAGAGCAUUCAUAAAGCAUAUGUUUUCAAUUGAUUUUUGUAAUGAUUGUCCUUUUCUGCACUAGAGAUGAUGGCAUCUUAAAAGUUGAGGUGUUUGAAUAACACCCAUAAAGAUCUAAUAAUUCUUGGAAGUGGUUUCAGUUUUUUAGUUUUUCUAGAAAAAUUGGGUGAGUUUAUUAAAUCUCAUUUACUUAGGGCCCGUUUGAUAACCAUUUCAAUUUUAGUUUUUAGUUUUCAUUUUUUGUGCUAGAGUAUAGAGUAUAGAUUUCAGUUUUUAAAUUUUGUUUUCCCUUUUGUUACUCCUCAUGUCCAUCUUCCCCUCUCAUCUUCCCUCUCAAUCUCGUCUCCACUUGCAUUCUCACUUUCAUUCUCCCUCUUUUUCCUCUAUAUUCUAGCACAAAAAAUGAAAACUAAAAUUGAAAUGGUUAUCAAACGGGCCCUUAUUGAAUGAUAAUUAGUGCCUACAAAUUUUCAAAAUUUUCUCAUAGAAGUAGCCAUUCUGACAUCUGCUCUUUUAACCAAUAUUUCCCCCCUUAAUAUACAAGGUUGCUUGCCUUAGUGAUCAUUUUGUUUAUGAAUUAUAUUCUCUCUCUCUCUCUCUCUAAGUUUACUAUCAAAAGAAAUUGGUAGGGCAAGGGCCUUCAUACAAACCCCUCAUUUCAUCCAUGUGCUUAGUCUAGUAACAUUGUUUUUUUUUUUUCCUCUCAUCCACAAUUUUUAAAUAUAUCCCGUGUCUUAUGCUAGCACUUCUUGCAGAUGCCAGGUACAAUUAUGGCAAUGGGGCGGCUCAACCGACCAAGUAUUAUGAUUUAUGGCGGAACUAUUAAGGUUCAAUAUCUCUAUUUGAUUACUGAAAGUGCAAGUUGUGGAUUGAAUCUCGUUUCUGUAUUGUUAGCUUUUUAUCUUUUGGUCAACUAUUUUGCUAUGAUUUCUGCCAAUCUAUGUUUUUCAAUGUAUUAUGUCACGAGGGAUCAACUUUUCAAUGCUUUCCUUUAUCUUUAUUUAGGAUUGAUCUUGCAUAAGAUAACAGGUUUUUUGAGGGAAACUGAUGUCAUUUACUUAAGCAUGUUUUCUCCUCCGUAGUCAAAGAUUUUUUGCAUAUCACUUGGGUUUUGUUUAUUUCUGGAUUUCAUAAGGUGUAGAUGAAUUAAACUCAUGUUCUGGAUCAAAGUUCUGAAUCUAGGUACUUCUGGAUCUGUACUUUGCUAUGUUAUUACGAAAAAGAAUGUCAUAUUGAUUUUUUUAUUGUUGGACUUAGUGACACUGACCUAAAAUAUCUUGGAAUAUAUUAUUAGUUAUUUUACUGCAUUAUUAUGUGAUGAUUAAUGUCGCCUGAUUGUUCAUCAUAGUUGAUUUUAACUUAAUGCUUGCUAUAUAUAUUCUUUUCAAAAGAAAAAUAUAAUUGCUGUCAGUUAGAUAUUAUUUGUUUUUAUUUAUCUUCUUUUUUGUUUUUCUUGCAGCCUGGACACUUCCAAGGCAAUAGUUAUGAUAUAGUGUCUGCAUUUCAGGUAUGCACUCUAAAUUGUGGUUUGAACAUAUUUUUGGAGCUGAUUACUUUUGGUUCUGAGUAAAAAGAUAUCUAUCAUGUUAACUGCUUUUGUAUUUUGUAAUUGUAGUUUUAUUUUCUUUUUCUUAGUGUUUCAUUUGCAAAACAAAUGGUGUAUGCAUGCUUUGUGUUUUGCCCUCUUUCUAUUUCCUUUGUGAAGCCUUCACUUACAGUAAUAAGAUGAAGGAAAUUUCUCUUUUAUUUCAAUAGAUACUUGGAAUGCCUGAGUCUGUGUCUUCCACAAUAAUCUGACUUGUAGAAGUUGAUUUAUUUGGGUUUAUCAUUUUAAUUAAGUACAACUGAGUUUCCAAGGAUACAGUCAAGGAGUGCAAUAUUCACUAGUUCAGUGAAUUGACAGGACGUAGUACAAAUGUCUAGAUUCUAAUUUUUGUUUUCCUUUUGUACAAAUGGCUUAUCUUUCAAUUUGCUCAUCAAUAGUGUUGCUAAAAUCUUUGUUAAGAUUAAUGACGGGUUAUGGGAGAGGGGAAGGUCACAGAAAAUAAGGUAGAGCAUGCUUUGGUUCGAGCCUGAUUAUCCCUAAACCCAAUUUGGGUUUUUCUAGUUUUACUUGCUUCCUUGCUGUGAUCAAAUGAGAAUGGAUAAGGGGUUCUCAGGAUGAAUGCUGGCUGCAUGCUGAACACAUGCAAGUCAGAUGAGAAGUGGUGUUUCUAGUGGCGGACGGAUGAGUAACGCGUAAGAACCUGCCCUUGGGAGGGGAACAAUGUAAGUCCCAUACAAACAACAGCUGCAAACGGCUGCUACUACCCUGUAGGUUGAGGAGCCAAAGGAGGAAUCCACCCGAGGAGGGGCUCGCCUGAUUAGCUAGUUGGUGAGGCUGGGAUGCUUUUUGGUUAUCCAAAUAUGUCAAUUUCUCUCCAAAAUGGUGGGCUGCGGAGAGUUUUCAGGGCAGUCUUUUGUUAAACUGGGCAUUUAGCGUGUAUUUAUCUUCCAUAAAUAGAACAAGAUUUUGUUCAUGAUGAGCUGGAAAGUGCAUGCUGUUGUUGUGUGUAAAAUAACUUCUUUAUGCUGUUACUGUACAAAGCUACCCUGUUUAAAUGAAGAUGUACUUUCUACCUCUUUGGCCUGACUAUGGCUAUUUUGGACCUUUUCUUUCUGUUGUGAUUUUGGAUUCCAAAUUUUGAUGGGAAAAUGUCAAUCUAAACUUCAAUAGCAGUUAGUGAUGUUAAGUCUUGCUUUAUAGCUAUUUUCUGCCUUUUGUGAGGUCACAUUUAUAUUGUUAUACAUUACCUCUAUAUUGUUUCUCGUUAUGUCUGAUAAUUGCUUAUGCGAGUAGUCAUUGCAUUUUAAGAUAAAAAGGCUGUUUCAGAACAUAAAUUGUUAUGUUCACCAUGUGGUGAAGUUAAACUUCUUCGUAAUUUUUUUUUUUUUCCAUUGAUGUUGUAGUGUUAUGGAGAAUAUGUAAGUGGGUCCAUAAGCGACGAGCAGCGAAAGAAUGUUCUCCUUAACUCUUGUCCUGGGGCUGGGGCAUGUGGCGGAAUGUAUACAGCUAAUACUAUGGCUUCUGCCAUUGAAGCUAUGGGAAUGUCUCUUCCUUACAGGUAGAGAUGCCUUCAGAGAAGAAUUUAAUUUAUGUUUUGCAAGCAAUCCAUUUAUUUAUUUCUUAUUAUAUAUAUAUUUUUUCCUCUAAAAGCUCAUCUACACCUGCUGAAGAUCCAUUGAAGUUGGAUGAGUGCCGAUUGGCUGGGAAGUAUCUCUUGGAAUUACUAAAAAUGGAUUUGAAACCUCGAGAUAUUAUUACUCCAAAGUCACUACACAAUGCAAUGGUUAUUGUCAUGGCACUAGGGGGUUCUACCAAUGCUGUUUUACACUUGAUUGCUAUUGCAAGGUGAGCAACCAGAUUUCUGCAGGAUGCUAAUGAUUGUUUUGCAUGAAAAUAUCAACUGACAAGAUUCUUGGCAGGUCUGUUGGUCUGGAAUUAAGUCUAGAUGAUUUUCAGAAGGUUAGCGAUAAGGUUCCAUUUCUUGCUGAUCUUAAGCCUAGUGGCAAGUAUGUCAUGGAGGAUGUACACAAGGUAUCCUUUCUUGCACUUAAUGUUACAAUUGGUGGCACAUUUCGCGUGUAUAUGACAUUUUUCUAUCAGUUCUGGGCUACAUUUGGUACUUGUUUUCUUGAUGAGCCAGUAAUGAUUAUUUUAAUAGAUUGGAGGAACACCAGCAAUCAUUCGGUACCUUUUGGAGCAUCAAUUUUUACAUGGGGAUUGUAUGACUGGUAUAAAUCUUCAGAUUGUUUACAUCUUUGGAAACACUUAGUUUAAGCUGUAAUGCUUAUAACAUUAACAUAAGGAUAUCUAUUCCAUAGUCACCGGGAGGACACUUGCUGAGAAUGCUGAAAGUUUCCUUCCUUUAUCUAUAGGGCAGGUAUGAUAAAUGUCUCUAUUGAUAAACCAUGUGUUUGAAGACAAACAUUUAUAUGGUUCUCUCAUGCGUUUCUUUUUUCUUGUCUUUGUCUUUUUCCUCUCAUUCAUUCAGGAUAUAAUAAGGCCCUUGGAAAACCCUAUCAAGAAAACAGGCCACCUUCAGAUAUUAUAUGGAAAUCUUGCACCAAAGGGUUCUGUAGCAAAAAUUACAGGGAAAGAGGGGCUAUAUUUCUCUGGUGCUGUUUUCUGUUAUUUGUUUAAUGGUUUAGUGAAGUAUUUUUUUAAUUUUUAUAGAAUAUAAAUGCCCAUUAAUUGCCGAAUUCUUGAAAUACUCCAGGCCCUGCACUUGUCUUUGAAGGAGAGGAGUCAAUGAUUGCUGCUAUCUCAGAGAAUCCUAUGAGUUUUAAGGUCUAUUCUUGACAACUUCAAAUUAGAAAACUGUGAUUAGAAAACCACGUAGCUUAACAAUCUUAGUGCGAGAUUGUUUCUGUUAUUUGCAUAUUGCUUUCUGCAUCAUGUCUGUUGCACGAUGGCCUUUAAAAUUGUAAGGUGUUUUUUUUUUUUGUGAAACUCACGUGUCAAAAUUACAUAGCUAAUUUCUUUUAUAUAUUUGUCAUCAUGCAGGGGAAAGUAGUUGUUAUUAGAGGCGAGGGGCCAAAGGGAGGACCAGGCAUGCCUGAAAUGUUAACACCAACAAGUGCAAUAAUGGGUGCAGGACUAGGGAAGGUAUAGUUAUUUGAAAUCCAUGAUUUGGUGGUUGUUGGUUGUCUGUUUUUGUUGCAGGUUGACUUAAAAUGUUUUGCUUUUCAUUCACAUGAACUGUGCCAGUUGAUUGAUUGGUCCAACUGCAAUGAUUUUAUUUCAACGCUUUUUAUUAGAUUUUGUUUUAGAUCAAGCUAAUUAUUAUUAUUUUAUUUAAACAAUUAAUCCCAUCAUGGUCCCUUCAAGCUGCUUUGCAUGGCUUUAGUUGGUAUGCAGCUAUUGUGUCCUAAUGGAUGUUUCAAUGAAUAUUGUUUUUGGGUGUUGCAGGAGGUUGCUUUAUUGACGGAUGGUAGGUUUUCAGGGGGUUCGCAUGGAUUUGUUGUUGGCCACAUAUGCCCUGAAGCACAGGUGCUCUAAACUUUUAGUUAAUGUUAUUGCAUUUUUAGCUUUUACCUUGAUGGAUUUGUCUUCCCUACUUAAUCAAUUAUGUGUGCGUGCUGUUAUUUUGUGUUGGGGGCCACUUAGGCCUAUAGGCUGCACUAUAGGUCUUCCAGCCCGUAAAAGAGUCCAUCAAUGGUAAACGAUGGUUUUUGUUUGCUUUCCUUUUCUGCUGAACGGAGAAUAAACUUGAUUCAAGAUAUCUAAGCAUGCUACAGAGUUCCUUCAAAAUAGUACAAAACUGGACUCGUGGAAAUCAUAAAAAACUGUAGAAGAAAAAUAUGAUAAUCCCGUGUGUUAAAAUCUCAUCAGUUUUAUAUUCAGAAUGCAGUAUCAGAUUUGACCCAAUGACAGUGUUUUUCCUUUGGUUGUAUUUUUCAGGAGCUUUAUUUCACUGGAAGUGCAUGAAAAAUUUGGGCACUUUAAUCUUUACUUAAUCAUAAUCAAUUGUAGAAAAUGAAAAAUUAUUCAUCUCUUCCGUCAAGAAAAUGAAAAGCUAAUGUGUUACAGUGGUCAAGCUUAUUUACAACAUGCAAAAAAUUUGUUAUAUAUCUUAGAUACAAAUUACGAUAAAGAACAAAGUAAUAAAGAGUGCUCAGGGAAUGUAGUAUGAAUUAUUUGCAGGAAGGUGGUCCUAUUGGAUUAAUUGAGAAUGAGGACAUCAUCAACGUUGAUGUCGAAAACAAGAGAAUAGAUGUCCAGUUAACAGAUCAAGAGAUGGAAAAACGAAGAAAGAACUGGAUUCCACCCGCAUACAAGGCUAACCGUGGAAUUUUGUACAAGGUAUGUGUGAGAAUCUUGAUUUGCAACCAUCUUUUCCUCGUUACGAUUGAUUGUUGUAUUUUGAGAAUUACAUUGUCUUGUUUUGCAGUACAUCAAGAAUGUGCAGUCGGCUUCAAAGGGUUGCGUGACUGAUGAGUAAUGGUGGUGAGGAGAGGACAUUACAUAGAUGGCAUACUAUAGAGUGUGAUAGCAAUUGCUGAAAUUAGUAAAUUGUCAUGAGGAGAGAUGUUGGGUUGGGUCUAAUUGCGGCUCUUGUAGGAUAUUAUCCAUUUGGCUCUGUAGCGUGUUUCUUAUGCUGUAUGUUGGUAUGCUUAAAUUUGGUUGCUCCUAGGUUUGUUUGUGAAUUGUCAAAUCCCAAGUCUGCUUUUAUCUCCUUUCCUUUUUCUAGAGGAAUUUCUCCUUUGGAAACUUCACUCAUCGUCCAACCAAAAGAAGACUAGUAGCACGCGCACACACAAACACACAAACGACCAAGCACUCUUUCAAGAGGUAACACCAAACACUUAUGGUCGCGUGUAAUUUAACCUUAAUUUCAUGCAUUAUUUAUACUUUAUAGAUAUUAAUUUGAUAUAGCCACGCAGCUAUAAAUACGUACGUAUUUUAUUCGGUAUAAUUUUGGCAAAUUGUAACUUAAAAGUUCAUAUUUUAAUAUAUAUUAUUUGCAUUCAAUAAUAUAUGUAUAAUAUAUGAAUUUUGUGUGUAUUAUUGAAAAUUUUGCUAAAAGUAUGUGUAUUAAAUAUGAAAAAUACUUACAUAAAUGUUCAAUACAAGUAUUGUAUAUUUACUUUUUUAAAAAUUAGGGAAAAUAGAGUAUAGCCGUGCGACUAUACUACUUCUUUGUUAAAAAAAAAAGGAAAAACCAAGUCUCUUUUAAAAAAUUAGAAAAAAGUGAGUAAUCGAGUGACCAUACUAUUUCUUUAAAAAAAAAUUAGAAAACACCGAGUAUUGUCGAGCGGCGAUACUAUAUAUUUAAAAAUCAAAUUAGGAAAAAGUAUUAUACAUUUACUUUUUAAAAAAUUAGGGGAAACAGUGUAUAGCCGUGAGGCUAUACUAUUUAUUUUAUAAAAAAAAAAUUAGAAAAAACAGCGUAUAGCCGAGAGGCUAUACUAUUUCUUUUAUAAAAAAAUUUAAAAAAAAAGGACCCUCCUAGUUGCACUAUUUAUACUUCAUAUAUAUAUAUAUAUAUUGAAUUGGUAUAGCCGCGCGGCUAUACGAAUAAAAUACGCCCAAUUUUAGCAAAUUACAACUUCAAAGUUCGGUUACUAUAUAAUAUUUUAAUAUAUAUUAUUUAUAUUCAAUAAUAUAUGUAUAAUACGUGAAUUUUGGGUGUAUUAUUGAAAAUUUUUUGUCAAAAACACAUGUAUAAAAUAUGAAAAAUACAUAGGUACAUGUUCAAUACAAGUAUCGUAUGUUUACUUUUUAAAAAAUUAGGGAAACCAGAGUAUAGCCGUACUCUGGGCGGCUAUACUGGGAAAAUAGCGUAAGCUGUGCGGCUAUACUGUUUCUUUUAAAAAAAUUAGGAAAAAACAAGAGUAUAGCCUUCCGGCUAUACUAUUUAAUAAUUUAAAAAAAUAAGAAAAAAAGACUCUCCUAGUUGUAUUAUUUAUAGAUUUUAAAUAAAUAAAAAAUUAGAAAAACCACAAGUGUCCGAAGCUACAGUCUCACUUUGAACAUAAGAGAUGUCUGAUGUUCUAGUUCCAUUUCUGACAGAAAAUGUCUGAGGCUACAGUAAGAACCGAUCAAGACGAUAUAAGUGGUUUUUAAUAAUUAACAAUAUUAGCUCAUACUGAUUGUUAAGAACCAAUAUAAGUGGUUUUUAAUUACAAUUCAUUUAACAAUCAGUAUGAGCUAAUUGGAUAUUAGUUUCAGCUUUGGGUUGAAAACAAUUCAAACCGCUAUGCUUGUACAAGUGGUACGCACUGAUCUGCCCCAACAAAACAAUAAAGACAUCUACUUUAAUAGUGAAUAUACAGUCCCUGAUAGGUACAGAAUGGGAAAAAAAAACAAGAGCUAACUAGUUGCGGCUCCUCCUGCAAAGUAGUCCCAAAGUUCAAAACUGGAAAGCACUCCUACUGAUCAACUUGAAAGGCAUGCGCGCAUUAUUUUGUGAUUUCUUUAUAGUUUGAAGCAGCAACGCCCAUCAAGCAACCAUCUUUUUUUUUUUUCGUCCUAAAAUACCUUGAAGCCUGUAAAUAGAGGAAGAAAGCUCAGAAUCAGGAAUCCAACAACAAAUCAAUCAAACCUAUUUUGAACAACCUUCAAAAUACGCCUACUCUCGACAACCUCGAAGUAACCCAGACUCAAAUUCUUGCAAAGCUUCUCACUACAGAUCAAGGCCAAUUCUUGAAUCGAAUCCUCUUCUUUUCUUUGAGUUCCCAAUUGACAACUCCUGAUUGUAAUUCUAUUCUUUUUCCAAACACAUACUCUAUCCAAGUCCCAGUUGACAACUCCUAAUUGGAAUUGCAUUGCUAUUGUUUGUAAUCUAUAUGCUCUGCUAACACAGCUUGGUAUGAUUUGAUAGUUUGUCUCGAUUUCCAACUCAUUUAAAUCAAAACUCCUAUAUGUAGUUCGGACAAGUUCUGGCAAAUAUAUCUGGGAAACUCUCAUCGGACAUACCAUCUACACUGUUUCAAGUAGAUUGCAAUUAUGUUUGAUAUAAUUUAUUUCUGUCCGACAAGGCUUUCGUAGUUUUGUUGGACCCAACUUUACUUUUAUUUGCAUCUAUCGUUAGGUCUCUGUUGGGUAUAUAAUUACUUUAUGGUAUUAUGCUAUCCAUCGGACACCUCUCCUGCAAGGCUCAUUAUUGUACUCUUUGUUCGAUGACAAUUUAAAAAUCAUCAUUCAUCUUGCGUUUUUUAUUCCAUAAUAGGUGAAAUAUUGAAGUCCUCUUCAUUGAGGCCUAGAAAAGAACCUAUCUAAAGCAAGAUCCCCUUAUUUAGAGCACAAUGACUUUGAUUAGAAGAUAAGAAUACAAGGGCGCAACACUUUAACAAGCUUAAUCUUCACCUCACCACUCUUUCUACUAUAAGAGUAUCACUAGUAGUGGCAUGCCUAUCGCAAUUCACCAAAAAGUAGAUUUCGAGCCUACUUUAGGGCCCAGAUCUCUCUCACUUCACUUCCUUCACCAACAACCAAUCGCUAGUUGCCAGCGUACAGCCUGCUAGUGGCCAGGGGCAUCGCAGUGUUCAAAACCUGACGAACACUUAGUUAUCAAUUCUAGACCAUAUAUUCCUUUUGAUGCCUCCAACACCUCUUCGCAUUAUACUAACCAUCCAUUGUUAUUACUAAUUUGUUAUCUUUGUAGGGAUUGCUUAGUUGAAUAUGGUGAGUAGAUUGUACUUAUUAAAAUUACAUUCAUUUCACAGUUCAAUGUAUUCUUUUUAGUUAUUUUAUAUUAAAUUAAAAUAAUUAUUCAAUAAAUAAUUUAAUAGUAGUGUGUACUCAAUUAAUUUUAUAAUUUGUUUAACAUCACCAAUGUUUUUAUAACAACGCCAUGACUUGAAACAGUUGAAUUGAAACUAUCCGAGAAAUUAUAAUUGUUGUCCAACAACGUGACCCAAACAAAUUGAAGUCUCUCUUUUCCUUUUCAGAAAAUAAACUGUUAAUUUCUUUUUUUUUUCUUUUCCUUUUUUUAUAAUUUUCUUUUUUCAUGGGUUGGACGUUGGGGGCUGAUUAGGGUGGGCCUCAGCUUCUCAAAAAUUCCGGCUGCCCGACCCACAAAUUAUGAGAAACCCUAAAAUUGACCCGACCCAUUUCCGCCACUGAGGGAAGAGGGGUUGAUGGGUGGUGGGUUCAUCUUUCAACAGAGACAGAUUUGGAGACCGGUGCAUGAGAUCAUCUUCCUCUUCCUUCUCUUCAAAUUCUGGGGCUUUCUCUUUUGGAUUUGAAUCCACCACAACUACAAGGAUAACGAUAACGUCAGGUUAUUUUCUUCAUUUUCUUUUAUUUAAUUUAAAAAAAAUUUAUAAUUGUUUCGGUUUAAGUUUUGCUUUGAAAUUCAGAAUUUUACCUACCUUUCCUUCUGAUUCAGUCCUACUUUCUCAUACAUUCUCAUCGAGGUUCUUUGCCAUCUGAUUGCACUUUUUUUCAAUAAAUUUUUUAAACCUUGUCGUUAAAUUUGGUAUUAUGUGUUUUAUUGUAAUUGUUUAAUUCAAAGUUUUCUACGAAGGUCCUUGUUUUUUGGUUUUUUUGGGUGACUGGCGAUAAUGGAAGCGUAUAUCAAUUUUUACUUCUGAAUGUUCAAUAUUUAUUUUAUCUGCAUUAAUCUCUGUUUAUGUAUCAAGCUUGAUUAUAAUUUGUAAUUUCUAGUGUCAUGAAAUAUAUAUAUGCCAGUUAUUUUGAUAUUCAUUAUCAUCUGUUCUGAGUUUUGUUAUUUAGGAAUGAAAUAUAUGUGGUGGAAAGCGCAUCACUUUAUCUUUAACGUAAAGGUUGAAUUUUGAGUGUUACCUCUUGAUGAUUUCUUUAAUUGGGCAGCAGUGAAACUGGUAUUACCAUGAAUUAAGUAUUUCCAUGGAGAAAGUAGAUUUUUUUCUCUUGGAUCCUUUAUUUAAUACAAGAUAAGAAAUAUAGUUAUUCCUUAUACAUGUUGUAUCUGAUUACUCCUUGAGAUCUUUAAUGGAAUUCAAUAUCUUUUUUGGGGGUUCAAGCCAGACCCUUUGGGCUUGUAGGAUCUGGGAGGUAGAACUCUCCUAUUUAUUAAACUCCAUUCCUUGGGAUGGUCGGACUGAUGAUGACCAUGUAAUAUUUCAAGCUGGGUCACUGAAUUAUUCUUAAUUUCCUUGUGAAUAGAAAUUAACUUUGAUUGAACCCCUUUGAAUUUUCAAGUUCAUACUUCAGAGUGCCCUCUCCCAAUUUUUACAAAGAUAAUAUAUUAAUUUAUAAUAAAUAAAUAAAAGGUAAGUAGAAUACACAGCCCUGCUUAAAUCUGAACCAUAAAGUUCACUGGGGCCUGCCCCCAAUACAGGGGUGCCCUCACGUUGGACAAUUCUUACUCAACAACCGACCCUUCCAUUUGCAUGGAAAAGGAAGGUGAGCAUUUUCAAUCUUCGUAUGGUCCUCUGUUAACAGGAGCAUGUAGUUUCUAUUCCCAUCUUUGAUACCUGUCAAUUCUGCCACACAAUCUUCUGUGCCCAUGUUGUUGUAUGUCUAUUACCUCUUGAUGUCUUCUUUUUAUUUCCUUCUUCAGUAUUUUUAUACCAUGUGUCACUUCUUUUACAAUUUUAGUAUCAUUUCUCUGAGUCCUUUCAAACAACUCCCUCCAAUAAUGUGUCCAUUAUUCACUUCUGGAUCUUGUAGUGUACUUUAUACAGAGACAAGAGUCCACACCGUGUUGCUGAACUUGGCAUAAAAAUGGCAGUUCUCCAUCCAGUAUUAGUUAUAAAAAAGAAAAUGAAAAAGAGAAAGAUAUUUUUGACUUAUGCUUUAGUAGGUGCUGAAAUCAUGUUUUGCUCACAGAUGAAUAUCUGCAAGCAAGUGGUAUCAACUGAAACCUUUUUUUUGUAUUGCUUUUAGUAACAUUUUUAUUUAUGCGCACUUCCUAUUAUGUAUAUAAGCUACAACUAUUUUUUUUGCUACAAAUUUUUGCCAUAGCUAGAAUUUUCUUAUUAUUGAGGGUUUAUAUAUAUAUAUAUAUAUAUUGACUAAAUGCGAGUAGCUGGUGCUGAAUGAUUUAGUUUUGUACUCUUUUAUGAAAUUAAUGUAGAUUAUGGAGGACAUGGACAUCGAUCAGGUAGUGGAUGUACCUGACACACCUGAUAGAUUGGCUUCCAGACACAUUACUGGCAGGGAAUCUGUUGGUAAAGUCUGUAAUUCACCAUUAGCUUGUGACUUGAGUAAUCCAGAUGUUGUGGAUGAAAACUAUGUGAAUGGACUGAAGGUCAGGGGAAGGUUCGUCAGUGAAAAUGGGCAUAAUAGAAGAAUUGUUAUACAUCCUCCGACAAAUCUUAGCAAUCUUGAUAUUAAGAGUUGCAGCAACUCAAAUGUUGAUAAUUCAUCUGCUUCCCAUAAUGCUCACAUCUUUCGGAGAGCAACAGUGGGCAAAAGCUCCAGUCGUGAAGCCAAAUAUUCUACUGGAAUUGAAAAUAUGGACGAAGGAAAGGCUAUGACCAUCAAAGUUCCUUCUAAAUCAUCUGCUUGCCAUGAAAAUGCUAAAUUUUUUGAUUUAACCAAACACAAUGGUCACACCCAAUUAACGAAAAAGGUUUUUCCACAUGUUGAAUUGGAAGAUAAUGUUGCUGAAGACAAAAGAAAAGGGCAAGUUGCGUUAAUUGGCAGUUCUUCUGUAGAUUGCAUUUCAAGUCAUGCGGAGAGAUCCAGAAAUGCUCCCAAGGGGAAAGAAAAAAUAGAUGGUAGUACAAAGGGUUUUGGGUUAGCUGUGGCUCUUGACAAGGGGGUUGGUCUGUCCAUUGAUCCUGAACAUAAAAUGGGGCAACAAAUGCCCGUUCCUCUUCAUUCUGUUAUGCAGCCAAGAGUCAGUGGCCAAAAAAGGUUGGUACGAAAUGGGUGUAUUUCCCCCCAUAAUAUAGCAACAAGGACUAAACAGUUAGCUGAACAGCGUAGCAAUAGUUCCAAGGAUAUUGAACAAAGUCACACAGGGAAUGCAGAUUCCAAUGGUUCACCAUAUGUCAUAGACAUAAAUGACAUAGUUACUGAAGGCAAUAAUAGUGAAAGACUGAAAGGGAAGGGGAAAGGUGUAAUAAUUCAUUCUCCUACACCUAAGGCAAAUAAUGCAAGAAUUAUUCGUACAUCAGGCAGGUAAUUUGUUCAAUAUGGUAUUUUCUUGGUUAGAUGCUCUUAAAUAUAUGUUUUAGUUAUGUCUUUUCUUAAUGAGUAAGUUAGAAUUACAUUUCAAUAUCUGGUUUCAAGAAGGUUGAAGAAUUUAGAGGGUUGCUGACUGUUGGAUUGCUUAUAAGAGUGAUAUGACGAGGGGUUUGUUUAUGAGAUCUUUGUAACCUUAGCCUUUUAUUUUGUUGGUAUUGGUGAGAGCACCUAAGUGCCCCUCCCCCCUGCCCUGGGAGGAAGAAGUUACGGUUGAAAUGAUGGUGCCUGUAGUUUUUUUUCUCCUAACUAGGGUUUAUGUCCUUGCAAGCACUUUUUCACAAUCUAUUCGGGAACGUUGACAUUAAUAUAUUUCCACCUUCUCUUAUAAGGUUGAGAAACGAGUAACACAGGGUUGUGAUAAAUGGGUACUGGAGUGUUAUGGUUUGGUUGUAUAAAAAUUGCACUCACGUUUGAAAUUUAAUAACUUCUCCAUGGCUUUUAAUGUAUGUAUAUAUAUAUAUAUAUUAUAUUUCUAAAAUUUCCUGAUGUGACAAACCGUAUGAUAUGAUAUUUUCUCUCUUCCAGAUUUUUGGGCUUUCAUCUUAUAAACCGGAUAAAGUCUUUGACAAAAAUAACAAGAUGUGUCACCAUCUGACAGCAUGAAGAAUUUCUUUCUAAUUUUUUUUUCUGCUUGAUUGUUGUUUCCAACGGUGUUUAUUGAUCAGCUUAUGUCUAUUUUCCGUUUUAAUAAACAUUAUCUUGAGACCUUAUGACAUGGUAUGUUUUUUGCAGCGGUCUUGUGAAUAAUAAUAAAGAAGCUAAUGGAAUAAGGGAUGUCAGUAGCAAUAUUUCUGGACGCUCUGAAGGACUAGGUGGCUGGAGAACCACACGUAAUCGUUCAAGUCAAAUAGAUUAUUUCUUGCCUGAUUCCACUGAGCCUCUUCCCAGGAGAACUAAUGGUGUUGGGAACUUUGUCAAUCAACAUCAAAACAGAGUACAGAGGAGAGAUACCAGGAGUCGAGGAAAUCGAAGGACUGAAGAUGAUGUGGCAGAAGAACUGAAUGCAACUCAAAAAGCUUCUGGACUUGUGUCUGAGCUGGACCGGAUACCUGGGUCAUGUCAUGCAGCAAAGACAGUUACUAAAAGGCAGAGGAAACAGGGAUUAAGUUUGGGAAAUCAUGCUGAAUGCUCUACCUCGGUGUCCGGGGACUCAGAUAUUGCUUUUCUUGGUUCAUCUGAAAAUUCAAAAUCAUCUAGGAUCCAGAGACCUCAAUUUCAGGGAAGGUCAAGUCGAGUUAUUGAGGUUGAUGACUUAUCACCUGCUGCAGGGCACUCUGUGCCCCAAGGUUUUGAUUCCAUGAAUGAUGAUUCCAAUGCUAGGGCAAGACAACUAGAAGCAGAUGAGAUAUUGGCUCGUGAACUCCAGGAGCAAUUAUAUCAUGAGGUGCCUAUCAGUGGAGGUGGCGAGGUUAGUGCAUUUUAGGCAACCGUGUUGUAUGUGCGUGUGCAUAUUUUUCUAUGUAGUAUUGGCCAUAGUUUACAAGAACAUUAUGUAGUAUUGAUAAGAGGGGGAAGGGUUAAGGAUGUACGUGGAACCUUGGACAUAUAAUAGUUCCGAAUAGAAUUUCUUCAGAAAGAGGAUCUUUAUGUGUGCAAAUGGACAUUUGUAUGCUUCUCCUUGACUGAGUGUUUUACAUCUGUUCUCAUUGUAGCAGAUUGAUGAACAUCUGGCGUGGGCACUGCAGCAGGAGGAGAAUGCUUCAAAUACUUCUAGAGGAAGUCACAAUUUAUCACAUCGUGUGAGUGAGCCUCUUUGUUCUCUGUAACUGUUGAUAGCAUGAUUUGCAAAUUAAAAAUGCACUUUUGGUGACUUUCACAUAAUUAUUUCUAAAUAUUUUGAUGCAUGGUCAUGGAACACAAGAUACCCUAUCACAGAGACAUGAAUGGCUCAUUAUCCUGCUGUGCGAGAGGCUCAGGCCUCUGUUCCUAGAAUUGAAAAAAUAAAAUGGUGUAUCUUUUCUGUUCCAUGAUAUUUUCUUUUUCCUUUUGGUUCGGCCCGGGGACGUUUUACGGGGAAAGUAUGGAUGAUUAUAGAGAUUGGUUUCUAUUUAUACCAUGAGCUGUAGCUUGAUUUCGGCUUUUUAAGUGACUUGCCUAUGUCCAGAAAUAGGAAAUAGCUUGCCCUAGAAUGAAAGUCUUGUUGUCAAACCAGUCAGUUCAAGUCAGUUAGGACCAUAUAUUUUACUCAAAAAGCCAUCUUUACAGUUGAUUCGUCAAUUCAAACUGGUUGCCAUCUUUAUAGUGUCUUUUACUCCUUUAAAGCCUAAUAUUUCUCUCUUACCAUAAGCACCGAAUAAAUCAUAAAAUGAGCAUCUUCCAGGCUGGUGAAUCAUAGUUUUGCACAAAAUUUCCAUGCUAGCUCAUUAUUGUAUUCCAGGUUGAAUUUGGUACCACCUACUAAACUCACCAAUCUCAACCGUUCAUGAAUUUGUGCAUGAAGUGCCCAUUUGGGACGCGUGCAACCCUGUGCAAAGGACAAUUAAGAUUUUUUACAUUAUAGGAAUUGUAUUGUUAGACAGUGAUACAAAGAUGAGCAACAAAUUUUUCCUAACCUUUAAACAUGUUGCAUUAAUUAACCAUAUUUCUCCCUGGGCUCAAAAUAUUGUCAUAUAUUAGGAUCCUUUUACGAGUAUAUAAUAAAAAAUUUGUCUCCCUCCACAUAUGCUUUGUAAUGUUUCUCAAGAGUCUUCAAAUGACGUGCCAACACUGAGACACCUUCAAUUUGGAAUCACGCAUGCAUCUCCUAUUAACAGCUUUCAUAGCAUAAACCCUAUCUUUGUGUGUGUUUCUCAGACAUUAGUUCCAGAAGCCAACUUUUGUAGAUAUUGCAGAAGAAUUAGGUCUGUUUAAGAUGAUAAGUGUCAUGAAUGCCAUAUUAGGGAGAUCUCAAUGAUUAAAUAAAACUAAAUGCAUUGUUAUUCUGUGUGCUGUAUAUUUUGAUGCUCAUGGUCGAGGAUGUAUAUUUUGAUGCUCAUGAUCUUUAUUGAUGUUAGAUUAAUUUUUGUCAAAAUCAAUGAUUUUGUUUCUUGGCAAAUGGACAAUUGUUUCUCUAUAUAAUGAGUAUGAUUUUUGUUGUUUGUUAGCAGUAUUGUGUAUUCUUAUUUUGUUUCUUAUGUUAUGUAGAGAGGCUCAACAAUCUUGCAUUCGAAUAGACAAUCGCGGCCAGAGUCUUUUCAAAACCAUUCCAAUAGGAGAGGAACCCAGGCUCGAGUUGCUACCUCGUCUAGAAUGGCACAGUUGAGGACUCGCUUUCGCAACCAGUCUCCUAGAGUAUCAACUAGAGGAAGAAAUAUGCGAUUUCCUUUGGACAUGGAUCUAGACAUGGUAUCUCGCCCUUUUAUUUCUUUGAGCCUCUUUGAUAAAGGUUUUUUGUUUUUUGUUUUUAAAUAAAAAAAAUUAAAGAGAGAGGGAGAUAAGAAAGUUAAGAAAGAUAAGGGAGAUAAACUAUUAAGGGAGGGAAGCCAUUUGGUUGUUUUUAUUUCUGUUAUUUGCACGUGUACAAAAUUCCAUGAACCUUGGAUGGUGUCUUUGUGUAUAAGUCACUUAUUUGACAAAUGUUUUGGAAGGAAACAAACUUUAUUGCAUAUGGGAUGAGAAGGAAGAGGGAGGAAUUUUUUCAGUCCUACAUGACCCGCCCCUGCGUGUCGGCCUAUUAUCCUCACUUAUCCUGGACCAAAUUCUUGUCUAAGAUUGCUAGUCCAUUCAUUGUUGUGACACCAAAGAUGAAUUAGAUUAUUAUUCAAUUUAUUUGUGUAAUCUCAUCCUUAUACUGUUUACCAAAUGAGAAUCGAAAGUUCAAGAAAGACAUUAGAACUUAUUCCAUAGUUCAGAGGGGGCAUAUGCGAAUUUAGAAUUCUACUUUAACGUCCAGAUAUAGUUGAAUAUUUAAUCAAAGAUUACCUCUCUGUCAAGUUGCAGUCAAGACUAAGUUUUCCUUAGUUUUUUCGUAAUAAUUCUAAUUUCUGCUUUCUGAUGCAGAGACUUAAUAUAUUAGAAGCUAUCGAGGCAGCAUUUGAUGACCUUGGUGAGGUGGGACUGGAUAAUCGCAUGCUUCGAGUUCAGAGGGAUUUUAAUGAGUAAGAUUUUAGUCUAUUUAUCAGUUUAUGCCUUGCUUAUUCUCAUCUGGGGCCUGUAUCUUGUUAGAGGAAAAAAUGAUACUUAUUUUAUCCAAUGGCUUCAUACAUUCAUUAAGAGCGACUGGCAUGAUUAAUUAUAUUGUGGAUUUGGUUGCACACUCGAAGCAUAUUAUUCUUUUUAUUUUACAAAAUCUCAAUUGGGAUUCAUUUUACCUUUUGCCUCUUCAUGUCUUGCAGCAAUGACUAUGAGAUGUUGUUGGCACUUGAUGAUAAUAAUCAUCAGCAUGCUGGUGCAACAGUUCAUCAAAUUAAUAAUUUGCCACAAUCUACGGUACAGGUAGGUGAAGUAGAAGUUGAACAAAUAUAAAGACUAUAACCUGUUUGCUUUUGUGCUUCUUGUGGUGGGGCAUGUACCCAGCCAUCAGAUCCGCUUAUUUACCUGCUAUAAAAUUUUGUUUUCGGUUGCUUUGUUUGCAGAGUGAUGCCUCAGAAGAAGCCUGUGCAAUUUGUCUUGAAACUCCAACAAUUGGAGAAACAGUUCGCCAUCUUCCUUGCUUGCACAGAUUUCACAAAGAUGUAGGGACUCCCAUUCUUGAGUGGUUAGCUUUUUCCUUGCAAAUGAAGCCAUCAAAUGUCUUACUCUUUUGUUUUUGUUGGUUCCCCUCCCUCUCCCUGUCUCUUUCUCCCACUUCAUUCUCAGUGCAUUGAUCCAUGGCUCGGUAGAAGAACUUCGUGCCCAAUUUGUAAGUGUUCGAUCACGUAGUUUGCGCUGUGAUUCACUGCCCAGGCCAUCUUCUGAAAAGAGUGUCUUAAUACUGCAUGCAGUAUCAUUUUGGAAUCAUGGCAAUCUGUGAUUCAAUUUUCGUUUUUCACGUUGAAGUCGUGGUAGCAGAAAUUAAGAAUUUGUUGAAGUGGAAACAAUGUGCAUAAUUAGAUUUUCAUAUAAGAGAGCUCAAGUUUACCUGUCUAUCUUGUUUAGUUAAUUUUUUGUGGUUUCAUGUUCGGCAUAGAAUAAAGGCUGCAGGCUUUCAUUACUGUAUAGAUACGCAGUCGACUUGUGGUUCUUGGGAUGCCCUGCACAGGUGAAGGUUGGGUAGUGUCAUAUUUCUACCAGUCAAUGAAUGGAUUUUUAAAAAUACACAUGAACUUGUCAUGUGAAAUCGUCAAUUGCAUCUGUGGUCUUCCUAGGGUUUAUCUUCACCUUUUACAGCUUCCACCAAAUUGGGGUCUUUGUGCAAGAAACCAAUGUUUUACCUCAAAUGCAUUAACUUUAAAGCAGUUUUGUGUGCAAGCCUUCCAUGCAUUAACUUAUACCUCAUGGAUAUCAGUCAGAUAAUCUACACCCGUUAAGAAAUCUAGGUUUCUUCUCUCUCUUCAUGAUCCUGAUAAUCUAAAAUUAUAAUCAAUAUUAAGUUAAACUUUUUAUUAGUUAGAUUAAAGUGGCAAAACAAAAAAAGAAUAAUAGUUGAAUUGCUGAGAAUAAGUUACUUGUUCAUGUAUUGAUGCUUGCUUGUUCAGCAGAAUUUUUUUGAUGAAUUGGUGGAGGCUUCUAUCAAUAUAGAAUGACUGUAGAUAUGAUUGAAAUUCCACACAACCAUUACUUUAAAAUCGUCAGAUUUGUCCCCUAAUGGAUCAUUCAUAAUCUAAUACGUCAUGUCAAAGGCAAAUAAGUGAGUGGCCAUGCCUUCCUUAUAAGCAUAGUCUAAAAUAUCGAUAAUAUCGACGAAAUAUUGAGAAUAUUAUUGUUUUUUCGAAUAAUUGAUAUUUCGAAACGUAGCCAUGCAUAUAUCGUAUAAAUAUCGAGAAUAUCGACGUCUAUAAUUUCGCUCACACUUCGGCAAUAUUUUGUUACAAUAUCGCUAUAAUAUCGCUAAAAUAUCAAUGUGAUGAAGAAAAAAAAAGGCAAAAAAAAAAAAGGCAAAAAACACAAAGGGGAUUCAAGGUGUUUCCUCUUGUAAAAUUAGUCAUCCUUGGUUUGCUUUGUAUUGUGGCGUCCAAGUGGUAAGUUCUUUUUUCUUCUAAAUAUUGAGACAUGGACAGGCAAGGAAUGAUGUACCUUACAUUUCUUACUUUAACAAAGUUCACAAGAUGAGGACCAUGGGAGUAGGCGGGCAGGACCAGGAAUUGGUGCCAUAGGGAAGGACUAUACUCGUAGAGAAAGAGGCAAGGCGAUUUUGUCAAGUCAAGAAGAUGAUUCGUUAUCUAUAACUUCGGACUCUGUUGGAGUGGGAAGUAGUAAUUAUGAUUAUACUCAUAAUCAACCAUUUCCCUACCCUUCAUAUCCCAUUCUUUUUGGGAAGGAAUCGAGCAGCUCAUGGAAAGAAUCCGAGACUCAAUCUUCAAAUGAUUUUGCUCAUGGACAACGUCAACCAAUCUUGGAUCUAUAUGGGUGACAUGUUAACAAUUACAUGCAAAACUAUUUUGGGGGUUUAUCAUUUGAUGACUACUCUUCACAAUACACUUAUUCUACACAUAGAGAUGAUGCAGAUAGUGAAAAAUUUGAACCUCAUAGGAACUCUAUGCGGUACUAAGUCACUUAUGUAUCUUACCAUGCAAUGUAUAAAAUGUAAAAUAUUGUAGUAAAUCAUUAUAUAUAAAUGAUUGUGGUGUGUUUAAUCUUCUUUCAUUAAUUACUAUAUAAUUAACUUAAAUUAGUAAAAUCCAUCAUGCAAUGCAUUUCAUUCCAAUUUUUUGUAAUAAACUAAUAGAUAAUUGACUAAAUAAGCAUCCUCCAAAGUUACAAUAAAAAUUUCCCAUGAAGUCCCAUUUUUUUGGUCUCAAAGAUAUAAAGCUAUAACCGAAAAAAGAUAUAAAGCAAUGAAACCAAUCAAGAUUGAACAAGCAGGCAAACGAAAAAGGUACUGUUCAACUAAAUAUUUAUGUGUAAUGGAUUGUAUAAUAUAAUUCUGGUAUACAAACAUUGGAGAUCAAAACUGCCGAUCACCAAAUACAUGCUAUGAUUUUCGAUUAACCAAAAUAUUAUUGAGAGGAAUUGCAAGGAUGAACAAGGAUCUGGGGAUUCAACUACCCAAUGUAGAGAGAUGAAGCAAUCUUAUCGCAUUGCUUCACUAUGAUUUUCAGUCUCAGGACUCUCAAUCAUACAUUAUUGACACAAAUGCAAUGGGUAAGUCCUUCUACCUAGCAUCCUUGGAUAAAUGAUUGAGGGAUUCGACUUUCCGAGCAUUGCAGAGUUCAUCAGUGCUGUCCCCCCUUUCGAAAACAGCUGCUGCCCCCAUCCCUGUGCCUGCAUUUUCCAUAUAAGAUCCAUUACCAACAUUUUCAAUGGGCAGUAUCGAUGUUUGUGUGCACACAAGAGGGGGGAAAUAAAGGUUUACCUAUGCACAUAGAGAUCACUCCAAAGCGGCAGUCCUUCCCACGACGCUUCAUCUCAUGCAAUAAAGUCGCAACCGCACGCGCACCUGCAACAAUCAAAUGAGAUUUCAAUACACACCAAAAAACAGAGUAGUACAGUCAAUGCUAAGUAGAAAAUAUAAUACCUGUUGCACCAAGUGGAUGCCCAAUGGCAAGUGCACCUCCAUUCACAUUGAUCUUUUCUGGAUCAAGUCCCAACUUGUUACGGCAAUAUACAUAUUGGGAUGCAAAAGCCUGCACAGUUGAGCAUUUUCUAUGUCAUUUUAUAUUCACAGGGCUUAAAAUCAUAUGUAGAAACUUAACUGCAAUUUAAGACCUCAUUUAUCUCAAAAAGAUCAAUAUCAUCAAGCUCUAAACCAGCAGCCUUGACUGCAGCUGGAAUUGCAACAGCUGGACCAACACCCAUGAUGGCUGGAUCCACACCAACAGCAGAGAAACUCCUGCACAAUGAAGAAGAGGGCAAUAUUUAUAACAUUCAAACACUGUGUCAGAUAUUUCAGAUUAGCCCGGAGGCAACACAUUAAACAGAUGAUAACAUCAAGGAAAAUAUUGAGAAAACUUCAUUCUCUUUGCCAACUAUGAUACCACACUACAAGGUCGUAAGUACAGAGGAAUUGUAGAUCCCAUGUCAAUAGGGAAACCCCGAAAUGCUACGAUCCUUUUGAUCAUCGGCUUUCUUUUUUUGGUCCAUAGAUCCUUUUGAUUUGCUUAAAGUGAAAGAAACUUAUUCUAUUGCACAAGUUACAAAAACCGAAGUAAUAUAGUAUACCAAAGAAAAAUUGAUCGUCUGAACAUCAUGGUUCAAAGCCUUGGAGUAGAUAUUAGGAAGCAAGUUUAUAAAGCAUGCUGAUAGCAAUAAACAAAUGAACCCCAAGGUGUUCAUCAGAGGCAUGGACAAGUUUCUGGAUACUGUGGCCUACAAAAAUAAGACUUCUGAGCAUACAUGUUGAAAAACCACGGGAAUAUUGGAAUCGACAAAUCUGUAGCCCGCCAUGACAAAAUCAAUUCCCUCCUGUCAAAUAGAUGCACGACAUCAAGGAGUUGAAUACCUGAAUACACCAAGAAUUGGCAAUCCUUUUCGCUCAGCAAUACUUCUCUUCAUCAAGAGAACAGCUCCGGCACCAUCACUAACUUGACUAGAGUUACCUAAACGGAUGCACCGAAUAUGAAAUGAAAUGGAUUCAAUAAUGCGAUACUGUAUUUUAGAAAAGGAAAUGAUGCAUCAUCAGAAAAACAUACCAGCAGUGGUGCUCCCAUCUUUCUUAAACACAGGCUUCAACUUUGCCAGGUCUGCCAAUGUUGUGUUCCGAAUCCCAUCAUCAACAGAGAUUGUAACAGGUUUCUCCUCACCAGAUUUUGGGUCAACAAUCUAUUUUAAUUCAAUGAAAUCAGUAAUACAUAACAUGCCCUUGCACGUGUGCAUGCAAACAUUAUCUGCCAAAUCUACAAUCAAAUUUUUAGAUUACCUUGGUUGCCACAGGGAUGAUUUCAUCUUUAAAUUUACCAGUGGCAGUAGCAGCAGCUGCCUUCCUAUGAGAGUCGACCUACCAACAUAUAAUUAACAAAAUCACUAACAUAGACAAACCAGGGUACAAUUUAGUACCAGACUGACAGAUUAAUCCAACUUACAGCAGCUUGAUCUUGCUCCUGCCUAGAAACACCAAAGCGAUGCGCAACAUUUUCUGAGGUGACUCCCAUAGGAAGAAGGCAAUUCUGGGCCUGUUCAAAGAUCUUCACCUGACCACAGUGCAAAUUAUCGGUAGACUUUUAGAACCCUGUCAAAAAUAGCAUUUCUGCAAGAAAAUAUGUUUCUAAAAGAAAAAACAUGUGCAAGAAGAAUGUAUACUUUAGGAUUAACUGAUCCUUCCCAUGCCAUUGGAUUUGCGGUCAUGGAUUCCAACCCAGCUCCAAUUCCUAUAUGAAAUAAUCCGAGAAAAAAGGAAAUUAAAGCUAAGGAUACUUGUCUGAAGUGAACUAGUUCUGAGACGAUUUUUUUUUAAAAAAAAAUCGACAAACACUGACCAAUAUCAUAAAAUCCUGCUCUUAUAGAUGCAGCUACAUCAGCAACUGCCUGAAGCCCAGAUGAACAUUGUCUGUUCACAGUUCUAAUUGGCACAGUUUCUGCACAUUACAGCCAUCAUGUGGAUGAAUAACAAACCAUGACAUACUCAAGGAUCAUUAAAUUUUCUAGAGGAGUACAUACCAGGGAAGCCAGCAUAAAAGGCAGCCAUCCUGCAUUCACUAGCUCUUUGAGAUCCUGGAGCUAACACCGUACCCACAACAAUAUCCCCAACCUCACUUGGGUUGAGAUUGGAUUUCUCUAUAACCGCCUAUAGCAAGGCAAUCAUCGUUUGAGUGAGAAAGAAAUAGUUAUUUUUAUCAGUUGAAGAUACAAAUAGUUUAUGAGAUAGUAUAUAAAAUAAACAAACAAAGAAAAAGCUUUAGAAUUUCUUUCCACCAAACUUCACUAGAACCAAAGCAAAGCGAAAAUUACGAAACUUGUAUAACCAACCUUCAAAACAGGUGCUAGAAGAUCAUCAGCAUGAGUAUCUUUGAAGCCCCCACGUUUAGCCUUGCAAAUUGGAGUCCGAUAAGCACUGCAAGACACCAAAAUUUUAUAUAUAUUUUUAAACUCAAACUUACUAUAAAAGCACAAUUAACAAAUAUCAAAGGCUUGAUGUAAAUACACAAAAUUGAAAUGAACUGAGGAGCAUCAUUUGCAAAACGAAACAACUUACGCUACGAUGACCACAUCAUCGCCAAAGACAUUUUUCCUUGCAUAUGCAGCGCUAUCCCCAGCCACACACGCCGAUGCCUGAUACCCAAUACACCCAAUACACAAAUCUCAUUAAAAAUGAGGAAUUGAGACCAAAUAUACAAAAUUGAAACAGCCAGUGACUCGAAAAAGAGAGAAAGCAAUUGCUUUUCAGCCUUGGAGAGAUUGAAUUGAGCUCGAGUUCAAUCGAGAUCGGAUGGUUGUUAUUCAAAGCGACUGAAAGCAAAUCCUUAAAAUAUUUCAAUCAAAUGAGUAAGGAGAAGAAGGAGAGGCUUACGGAGAGAGAAGAAGGGUCGGUGCCAUGAAGAGAAGAGGAAGAAGGUCGAAGGUGGUCGAGCAGAACUCGUUGCCUGUUGAACGCUUUCUCCAUUUUGGUGUGUACGUGUGAAACCCAGAAAUUGGAAAUUGGAUGGGACGCUAAGACAAGCAAAUGAAGAGUGCGUGUGGGAUUUUAUAUAUAUAUAUAUAUAUAUAGAGAGAGAGAGAGAGAGAGAGAGAGAGAGAGAGAGAGAGAGAUAGAGUAGGCCGCCUCCGUCCUCGGGCUGGGCGGUUAGAUCUGUCUCAGACUAUCUCAGCUAAUACAAACAAAGAUGACUCAAUUUUACAAAAGGAAAAUGCUAGGGAGACCAACUUUAGAUACCAACUUGUGUACCAACUCUCUAAUAGAGUAUGGGACCCAUUGUAUUGGUGGGCUCCACCUCUAUUAGAGAGUUGGUACACAAGUUGGUAUCUAAAGUUGGUCUCCCUAGCAUUUUCCUUUACAAAAUUAUGAAAUGGAUUUUUCUUCUUUUAUCUUUUAUCUUAUCUUUUUAUAUUUUUUUAGUUUUGUUUUUCGCUCCAUGAUCAGGCGUCACCUCUCCAACUGCAAAGUAGACUUUACGCGCGCGCUUCUCUUCCACUCUCGCCUUCCUCGCGUGCUUUCUCCUUUCCAAAUUCUUUUAAUGUAUUUUUCUUAUAUCAUGUAUUUUUCUUAUUUGGGACCUUAAAAGAAUGAAUUCCAUUCAAACACAUGUUUUAUUAAAAUGGCAAACGGUUUGAACUCAUGCAAGAAAUUUUUGAUCAGACCAUGAGCCCAUGACACUGCUAUUUAUAUAAUAAAAUUACCAUUAUUAUAUGACGUAUAUAUAUAUAUUUUUAAUAUUAUAUAAUAAAAUAUAAACUUAUUGUGUUUAACAUAUUAUUACAAAGUAAGUCUAGAAUUUGCAAUUAUUCCACUAACAUCUAUGAACUGCAUUUCAGAAUUCAGGAGUAAGACUGAAAUUUGAGAAAACAAGAUAAUGAAGAGAAAAAACUACUUUCCAAAUUAAUGAUCAAAUGAGAGUAUUAAAAAAAAGGAUGAAUGGAUGAGUAACAUUUAAUUCAGAUUUUUAUGUCAUUUAUAACUAUUAGGUUAAUUGAGGAGAUAAAUUGUCCACAAUUCAUUUUGCAUUUUAGAAACUUAAGAUGAAGAUUAAAGUGAUGAGUAUAUAUAGUUUCGAAGAAAAAAUUAAUUAAUUUUGGGGAGACUUAGGAAAAGCCCAAAGGAGAGAGAAAAUUUUUAAAACAAGCAAAAAUGGACAAAAUUGCCCUUAUUAAUUUUUUAAUUUCCUAAGAAAUCCUUUACAUUUGCAUGUCUUUGGUUUGAAAGUUGAGAGGUUAUUCUGUCUUUUUUUAAAAAGCUUUGGCUUUUUCUAAAAGUGAAAGUUUUUUUUUGGGUAAAACCUAAAUUUACUUUAAUUUUGUAUGUGAAGAAGAAGAAGAAGAAGAAAUGAAGCAACUAGUACAAUACAUACAAUAGCAAACACGCGGUUUGGAGGGACGUGGUGUGUUUGGCGUGUAAUGUGAAAGCAAAGAGAGACAUAGAAAUGCGUGCCCGCUUGGCUAAAUGGAAAGAUUGCAUUCAUUAUCAUGCUUUGUUUGAUACCAAUCCUUCUACAAACAGACAGUAAUAGUCAUCCAAACACGCAGGUAGCCAAGCCCCCACCACUCCAAAAAUAUAAAACAGGAAAGAUGAUAACAUUCGCAAUCCAUUGGGUUGUGUCAAGGUAUUAAAUAAAUGGAUUGGGAUGAAUUGUUAUUUAGGUUAACCUAUUACCUCCUUUAACCCUUUUAACAGCUUAGCAUAUUUGACUAUUGAAACUUCAAAAAUUAUUUAGCAUAUUUAAUCUAUUAAAUGUUAAUAAUUUAUCAAUAAUGUUACUCAUAUAUAAUUAUAUGGAAAUUGAUUGGCUCUUCAAAAUAUGAAGGAUCAUAAUCGUGUUUUAGUGGGUUGAUAUGAAUUUUUCAUUAUUUGAGUUCCUCGAGUCAUUUUAUCGAGAAUGGCCAUAGGCAAGGUGACAGUCAUGAAUGUCUCUCUAAAUCUUUGUUUGUUAUGAAUUACUUAUUUUCUUCUUUUAUUUUAUGUGACAGAAAGAAAACUAAAAGAAAAACUUGGAGAAAGAGAGAUUACAAUGAUAAUGAUAGUGGGAAAGUUUGGAUCUCUAUGAUAAGUAUUUGAAGACAUAUAAAAUUGAGAGAAGAAGGCCGGAGAGCUCUAUGACUUUUCUUUACUUUCAAGUUUAUAACUCACACUCCAAAGCAAAGUCUACCGCUUAAUAAUGAAGUCUUUAAAAAUCCAAGAGAUUUUGAGCACCAAAAAUAGUGUAGCCCCGUGAUUUUUAUGGAUUUGUUUUUCUGAAAAAGAAGACUUUAAAACUCCUAGUUAUAAAUACCAACAGUUUCAAACAGAUUCUCCAAGAGAAGCAAAAGCAAAUAAGGGAAUAGAUUUUAAUAGCAUUCCGAAAGGGCAUGCUGAUUUACAAUCAUCCAAGCAUUCCUCCAUUACAUCUUAAGCUAAUUACAUGGAGCACAUAUAUGAUAGUGAUUGAUUUUAUCUACCCUAGACAAGACUAGGUCAAAUAUAUAAACUAUACAACAACCAAUGCGAAAAAAAACAUACAAAACCUCCCCCCACCCCAUCCUAAAAUGGCUAGCAAAACAGGACGGGCAUAACCUAACAAGGUAAGCAACUCAAAGAGAUAGAGCAAUUUACCAAUGCCGCAUGACAGCACGAAAGCGUCCAUGGACAUAUUCCGAUGCAAACUUAGGUACACUUAAAACCAUGGCAGAUUGACAAAAAUAUCACAAAGCCUAUGAGAAUGAUGAUCCCCACAACAAUCAAUUUUAUCUUCAUAUUCUGAAACCACAUCUUCCUUUUCAUUUUUGUUCCCUGUGUCCUGAAAUCUUGGGCCUACAACACAAACACACCAUUGUUUUCAACAUAUAAAAACGCCAUAUCAACAUUACAAAAGAGGAAAGGAAUAAACUAAACAUAAGUUAUGCUUCUUCGACUAACCUGGGAGCGAAGAUUAUCAGUUUUGUCCACCAACAGCUCAAUCUUCUCACCGCGGUCAAGAACCUGCAGAAUAGAUGAAUUUCCAUGACUAAAAAUGGAUGACAUAUUUACCUACUUGGAAUCAGAAUGAAAAGGAAUUGGAAUGAGAAAUUCAGAAUGGGAAUUGAGUUGUUCCUAUUAGUAAUGUUUCCUAACUUUCAGGAAUCAAAGCCACAACCACACCCUUAUUCAAAACACCGACCUUCUCAAUAUUGUCCAUCAUAACACCCUUGACCUCAGUAACCUGAGCCUUCACUUUUGCAAGCUUGUUGAUCUCUUCAGGAUGAUCCACACAGUACUUCAUGUGAUCCUUCAGUUUAGGUCUAAAACAUCCAUAUAAGUGUUAAGCAAAGCAUAUUCAUGAAGAAGAAAAAAAGGCGAACAAUAUUCAUCGCCAUGAAAAGGACAUCAUAAGAUGAAUACCCAAACUCUCUGUUCAGUCCAUUGGCAACAGCAGUUCCAGCUUUCCCACCAGCAUAUCUUUUGUUGAAAUCGUCCUUGACUCUCUCCAGAUAGGCAAUUGGAAUUUGCCUGCCAGCAGAUUCAGAUGCAACUACGCAGUAAGCUGCAGAAUCCAAAACAAAGACAUUUAAAAACCUAUCCUUACAAUUUACAAACAAGGAUUAUCAACUCAAAUUGCAGAGUUGGAAAUUGCUUCAGUCAAAUCAAAUGCACAAUGUUUUUUUUUGUUCAUAUGCAAAAUUGACUAAGAAAACUAAUACUGCAAUUAAAAAAACGCAGCCGCAAUCCAACAAUAAUCUCAUGAAUCUUAAUCACCCAAUCUUGAAUGCAUACCAUGCAACCAUAUAGUUACAAAAUAUUUGCUUUAAAAAGAAUCAACGCAAUCAGCGUUUUCAUAAUCAUAGAUACAUAUACAUAUGAUCUUCAUUCCAACAAAAGCAAAUUACAAAACGCAUGGAUCAAAGCCAACGAUAACGAACAAAUCUAAGAGAAGAAUCAGACAUUGGUAAGAAAGAUUUGAAGGGCAUGUAAAUGCAUGGGGGACUCACUGAAGCCGUUUUCGACGAGGUAAUUGAAGGUGUGGCCAUCGCAAUUGUAGGUGAACUUGUUGUUGGAGGAAGGAAGCUUCUGAAGGCAUUGAGAGGCAAUGGAGGUGAAAUUGCCGGUGAACUCUGUGUACUCGGCGAGAAUCACACUGCCUCGAGCGACGAAGCUGUAGAUCAGAGAUUGUUGCCCCAUCUCAAUUCCAAUAUAAACAAACCCUAACCCUAAUCCGAAUGGGAAUGUGAAUUUACGCAGAGAGAGAGAGAGAGAGAGAGACGUUAUGGAAGAACGAAAAUGCUGAAUUUACGCAGGGAGAAAGAGCUAUAUACUUUUUUCUUUUUCUUUCAAGUGUGUGUGUUUGUUUGUUUAUUUAUUUUUUCUUUUCUUUUCUCAUUUUUAUUUUGAAUUUAAUUUCGUGGAAUGGAAUGGAACACGAGAUGUGAUGAAGUAUUAUUUUGUGCUUUGGAAUUUCACAGUUACACGUAAAGUGUGUCAUGUAUGAAUUUCUUUAUAAAAAAAUAGAAAAAUAAAAUAAAUAAAAUAUUGUUUGAACGGAAAUGAAGGGUGCAUAGACCAAGGCGGGAAGCCCCCCAAAUAAGGCUGUCCUGCUCCUCCGCUUCUCACUGGUAGCGGUCGCAACAAAUGUCUCAACCUUCACUCAUUUGUAAAAAUAGCAAACAUUCCAUCUUCUUUUUUCUUUUUCCUUUUUAAUCUCUCUCCUUUCCUAUCCUGUUCCCAUUUUUUCAACGAGAAUAUAGAAUAUUUGCUUGGUUAUAUAUACAACGAGAAAUCACCGAACCAAACCGAUCACUAAAUGAAUUAAUUUGAUUAAAUUAACUUAAAUCAAAUAAAACUGGAUCGCACCCAUCUCUACUUUCCCUAUCAUAAUUAGGUGCAUAAUUAAAAAUGAUUUUUGCCCACAUUUAUCUUGUAAUCAAUUUGUGUGUAUUUGAUUUGACAGAUGGAUGCAACAAAGGAAACCAGAAUUUUUAGGGUCAGAAAUUAAUUAGGAGACUGCUAUCUGCUAGAGCUGAUGAGGGAGGAGUGAGGCCUAUGCCGUGAACAUUGGAAACUCAGAAAACAUGUCUCAAAUGGGAGGCAGUCAAAUCCCAGUACUUGCUAGUGUUUCAAACUUGGCUUCUAAAACUAAACCGUCCUAGAUGUAUGAGAAGGUAAUGUUUAUUCUUCUACGUCUUUCUCUUAUAGAAAUCACCAAAGUCGGAUAUUGAUGAAGUGAGACCUAAUUCAUAUGAAGAUAGAACAACAAGUGCCCUUUCUCUUCUUUUAUUAUUGUCAUCCUUUUCUCUCUCGAGUUCUUCUUGAAUGACAUCUCUUUGAUUGCGUCCAAUUUCUUCGUCACUUGAAUGCAGAUGUUGCAUGUUAUUAGCUAUGUUCAUGCAUCUAUAUACUGCAGGCAGGGCAGUUGAGUUACUCUCUUGUUGCAUUUUAUGUUCCUUUUUUCACUCUCUUGAUUACCUCUACUCACCUAGGACGUUAAAACUCCAACACUUUUCCUGCUGAAUGAAUCGAAGUAGCCAAGUUAUCAUUUUCCUAAAUGUUACUAGGAACAGAGACGACGUCCUUUUUCGAAUGUUCAAAAGAAUUUAUGAUAUGUUAAAUUAAUGGUUUUACCAAGCGUCAAUGGUUCUUCACCCACUAAGAAAGUACAGGUAAAGUAGCAAGGAGAAAAAAGAAAUGAAGGAUUGAAAAGGGUAAGCAUCUGAAGAAGAAAAACACCAAUGAACUUCCAGCAUAAUGUGCAAAUGAAAUAUUUGACCCCCUUUCCCUGGAGAGUGGGGAAGGAAAAGGAAAAGGAAAAAGAAACUUAAGUCAGGAAAUAUAGGAUUUUUGUCAAGUCUAAACAUCAGAGAUUUGUACCUUAUAUUAAUGUUGGAAAAUUUAUUUACAGAGAUUUGUAGGAAUAAUUAUCUAACACUAUAGUAGCUGUACUUAUAAUAGACUUAUAGUACAUUUGUCAUGGCACCAAGCAAUGGAUGCCACCUGAAGUUCGAAAGUUUUUUCUUCGAAUUCAACCUGAAAAUUCUUGACAUUAGUUUGUAUAACCUUAAUUUUGUUAUCAUCAUAUCUGCAUGCCUUGAUUGUUGAGGUUGACACCAUUUGGAGGAUUGAUUACUAUCCAAAGCAAAGAUAUUAUGAUUGCAAGCAGCCCUGCCCAGACAUAUACAAUAGUAGGUAUCCUUCCUCUCCUUCCCAUCAAGCCUUUCAUAAAUGGGUACAUGUGAGCCAACACCCAGAAACUGAAGAAAAGUCCUCCGAGUAGCUUAUUCCAUUGGGGUAUCACUUCGUAUAAGGUCCUUGAGAUUCCGAUGACCAUUGCAAUAAUAUUGAUGAUUAUGAUUGUCAGAGGCAUUAAGAAAAGACUUGUCCAUUUGACAACGUAUAGGUCAGCGUAAAUGUCUUCUUCGUCUUCAGCUGUAGACUUGGAGGUUAAGGUGAAGUGAAUUUCGAUACCGGCUACAACUUUGAGGAGACCCUGGAUGACAGCUACAAGGUGAGCACUUGUUCCACCAAUGAGCCAAAAUUGCUCAUUACGCCACCAUUCCUCAAGGCCAAUGCCUGACCAUCUCACUUCAAGUAGGGAGAGCAGACAGAGACAGAUAGUGAUGAUAAGGAGGUAGAUAAGGAAGGGGACACUUAGGCCUGCAACUAUGAAUUGACCUGUGAAGAGGCAGAGUGCAGGGAGGAAACAGUAAACAACCAGAAAGAUGGAUGUGAAGGGAUAAAUGCCGACGUUGAGGUAUGCAAUACGCUGUAGAAACUUGAGGCGCCGGCAUGCAAGAAAUGCAUUGUUCCUGGAGUAGAAAAUUUCCACUGAACCAGUGGCCCAUCGGAGCACCUGGUGCAAUCUGUCUGUGAGGUUGAUAGGUGCAGUGCCACGGAAUGCAUCACGCUUCGUGAUGCAAUACACUGACCGCCAACCACGAUUGUGCAUUCUGUAACCUGUCACCACAUCCUCUGUCACUGAUCCAUAGAUCCAACCUAUCCUGUCUCCCCAUUCGGUCUUGUCCUCGUACCUGUGUGUGCAAACAUUAACUAAUUAACCCAAAUGAUCACAGUGUUUCGCAAAACAAGGAAGAGUCUACAUAACUGGUCUAGAACUAGAAAAGUGCUUCUUUCAACUGGUUUAUAUGCAUAUAUAGAUUAUGUACCACUUACCAGCAGGAAAUGACAGCAACUGCUUCAGCAACAGUUGGGGCAUCGAGUGGGGGACGUGGUUCGAGCAGAGCGCCUGGAGGGCGGCCAUUCUUGACCGAGGAGUGAUCAGCAAGAGGACGUCCGUGAUACUCAGCAACGCCUAUGGAAUCAGUGAACAUUUGUGAAUUUCCAAACUUCUUGGGAAGGCCUAAGUCAGGGUGAGUCGCCAGAGGUUGUUUUUCUGAGUCGGGUAGAUCUGGAUCAGCCUCUAACUGCGCCUCAAUCUCAUGGUAAUUUGGAGCUGGGGCUUUGAUCGUCCCAAACAUUCCUAAGUACUCAUUUGCCCUUGGCGGGUGGAACCCGUACAGUGCAAAACGCCUAAACAUGCACCCAGUUCCCACAUACACUGGGCCUUGGAGACCAUCCAGGGCUCUCAUAUUUCCUGUUGUUUUACAAUUAUAUCCAAGCAGUGUCAUCACUUUCAAUUUCAGUUUAGCUAUAUAUCAAAUUCAAUUAAUUAGCCAAAGUCACGCAUGCAUGAUCAAACAUUACCAUCAAAGAAGACUGUGUUAUGAUUUGCAUAACGGUCAGAUGGAUCGAUCCCUUCAAAUCUCUGAGGGAAUUGUAUGUAGCAAAUCCUGUCUCCACCCCGGUCCAUCAUGAAGCACAUUCCUUCCCUUAUAGCCAGAGAGUUAUAGAUAUAAUGGUCACAAUCCAAGUUAAGUAUGAAGGGACCAUUAGACAAUAUUGCUGACGCUCGGACCAUGGCAUUCAUGGCUCCUGCCUUCUUGUUGUGGUCAUAUCCAGGUCGCUUCUCUCGCGAAACAUAUGCAAACAUUGGGACUCGAAUGUCCACCCCUGUGAAGUCUAAUUUUUUCUCAUCAGGAAAACCCAUUACAGCCUCCAUCUCUGGGACCUUACUCAUAACCUGCAUGUAUGUUCACAAUUAUAUUUGAGGUUCAAACUUUUAGGACUUGUUUUAGAGAUAUACAUACUUAUAUAUAGGGUAUUGUUAUAUAUCCAUCACCUGUAAGAUCCCAGCAUGGUCUCCUUUUUUGUGAUCGGCGCAAGGUUCGAGCCAUGUUCCUGGCCAAUGUGUCCCGUCAGCCAUCCACGUUGCCUUAGUAACAUUGCUUGCCUCACCAUCCGCUGGCUCCGCGCCAUCUCCACCUCCACCAAUACUUCUCUCCUUGGAAAGCUUCCUUUCAUUCACGUCCUCUCUAGAGUUAUACAUUUCACUUCGCUUGCGGAUAACAUCAGGAAGACCGUUGAUCCUAACUUUAAAUUCAUCAUAUUCUCUCUUGAUCCAACGGCGAUCCUUGACAAAAUCAGGCCGCUUCUUGUUCUUGGUGGGGUCAACUUUGCUGUUAAAGUAGCUGUCUGGAUUCCUAGGCUCAAUUUCAUGUUUUCGGCAAAAGGGUACCCAAACCUGCAGUGCAUAUGAAUGUAUGUAUGUAUAUUUGGACAAUAUAUAGCUAGAACUAAUUAACUGACAGGAAUCAAAUUAAUUCAAUUAGCAUGACUACUUAUUUAUGUUUUUCUUUUCUUCUUGUGAGGAUAGCAUGAUUAUUUUUGGGAUAAGAAAUAUACUUGCAUGACAAGUUUCAUGUCAUUAUUUAAUUUUUUACCACCACUAAUGAAAUUGCAAUAUUGAACCAACCUCAGCAAAGUUAACAGCCUCGGCCAUGGCCUCAAAUGUGAGAAUGGCACCACCAUCAUCUGAAAUGUAGCAUGAAAGCUUUUCCACGGGAUAUUGAGCGGCAAGGACGGAAAGAAUUGUAUUGGCAGUGACAAGAGGUGGUUCCUUCUCAGCGUCGGCAGUGGAGAUGAAGACAUCAACACCGGGAAGGUCAGAGCGCCCAGUAGGGUUGGUGGGAGAAGGUUGCUCAAACUUGUCACGUAGAGCAUCCAAGUCCGUGGCACGAUUUAUGGGGUUCUGCUUGGGAAGAAUGUCUAAAAUCCAUGAGAAUGCAAACCAAAUCUCACAAACUAUGGACAUGCCCCAUAGCCACAUUGCAUCAGGGUUUGGAUUCUGGACUCGCCAUAGUAGGAAAAGGAACAGUACUAUCAAACGGAUGACCACAAGUAACCUGCAUAGAUGUACAAAUUAAAUAUGCUGGACCUGCUAAUGCCUUGGCUCCUCAUGUAAAUGAUUGUUUCUUCUCUUAGUUGGUGGGAAGGCAUUCUGUCUCUCAUUUUAUUGUUUCUUUCUGUAGUCAGAUCUUUUGGGUAUACGCAAUUAUUACAAAGCCAUAUUUGAGGAGGGAAUCAUAAACGAAACCUGGGAUGCUCUUAACUACUUGAGCUACAAUUUCGUUACUUUCUUAUCUUAUUUUUAAUCCCCUUGACUUUGUAUUUUUGAUAGAUUUAAUAGAGAACAAAUGCACAUAAACGUAUUUAUAUUCAUUAAUUAAUGGACACAAUAAUUGAAUUGUUUGUAAAGGAGCUGGUUAUUGAUGAAGCAGGUAGGUACCUGUAAGGGCUAAGAAUAGCAGGGGGGAUUUUAACCUUCCUGGUGAGUGGCUUCCAUGGUUUGUCAAUAAAAUCCUGCAUGCUCAUUUCGACUUCCGGUCCAUACUUGUUCUCUUGCUUCUCUGACCAAUAUGCGUUUCCAAUGCCAUACGUUCCUUUGGUCUCAAACAACCAACGAUUAUGAUCAAAGUCCCCAGUUUGGCUUCUCAACAGUAUUGAUUUGUUAUUAGAUGAGUUCAUCACUGACAUUCUCCUAUCCGCCUUUGCAGCUUCACUAUCAGCCCCACCAUCAUCGUCGCCCCCUCGCCUAGACUCUGCUCCAAACCGUGAUGGCCCAUAUGGCCCCGGACCAUCAGUUUUUGAAUCCGAGGCCGUUCCUGCACCUGAUGACCCUGCCAUUGGCUGGUUGUCCGGUGUAGGGGGCAUCAUCACGGUGUAAUUGAUGUAGUCAUUUUCGCCCGAGAAUUCCCCGCUCAUGUCCAAAUCGUCGUCCCGAGACAAGCUCAUCACACGCCCACUGGACGUGCGGCGAGCAAAUUUGACCCCCUGCGGUGGACGGCCUGCAGAUGAGGGUGAGGACGACAUUGUUUUCUUUGAUGAGUUUGAUGAAGUUGCCAUAUCUGUGCCGUUGAUGUUGUGAUGCUUUUCCGAUUGUAUUUUAGCUACAAGACCCAAAUGAUCACAUUUAACAAUAACGGAUUACUUGCGGCGCACGUAAAAAUAACAAGUAGGGAAUAAUUCCAUGUGGGGGAGACGGAGGCGAGAAGAUGAAAUGGAAGUGGAAAGUAUGGAGAAGGAAUUGGAUAUGUUGAAUCACUGGUUGAAGGAAAGGCCAAAUAUGGUUGAUAAGUUGAAUGGUCCGCAAUUUGCUUCUGUUUUUAGCGUUUUUCCCUGCACCGGAUGUCACUCCCUUGUUUCAAUCUCAAUCUCAUAGUUUAUCAAUACGCGUACACGUUUAAGUUUUAACAAUGUUCUUUUUUAAAUUCACCUUUUAGUUGUACAUCGACCUGUCAGGAAACUCGUAAGUUGAAUUCCCCAUCACUAAUAUUGCUUGUAUAAAAAAUAAGGUCAAAACUAUAAAGAAACAAUCCCACAAAUUAAAAUUUUGAAAGACUCCCUGCAGUUCUCACCAAGUCCGCUAACCACGUUUUUAUCACAAAACAUCCCUGAGUAGUUGGGAAAAAAAAAAAACACUAAUAUCAUCGAUGGCCAUGAAUAGUUAGAUUUUAGUGUAAUUUAUUUUGGGGACAUUUGUCUCAAAUAUCAUCGAUGCAAUGGUAAAGGUUAUUUGUGCCCACAAUACAUUACCAAUAAAAAAACACAAAUCUUAACAUACAAAGUAGUAAAACAUACAUAAGAACAAACCAUUACUAGUCUAUCUCUGGGAAUGUUUGAAAACUAGCCAAGUUUUGGACAACAAUUUCAUAGGACACACCAAAAGAAAAGACUGAAGCGCCUACAAGAGGAUGAGAAAUGGCAAGGCAACGCUACUCCCACUACCUCCUGUGAAUUCCUUCACUCUUUGGGCCUAAGCUCAAUGCCUUCCACAAUGAGGCCGGUCUUACAGUUGUAGUUACUAGUUUCCAUUAGACUACACACUACAGUAGCAUUAUCUUCUUCGGUGACAAACUCACCCAUCUCAAUCUCAAACCACCCAUCGCCUCUGUAUCGAGCAUGCGGAGGAGCUGUACCUUCAUAAUUUACAGGGUCUAGGAUCACACUAUGCUCAACCGCAACUGCGCUAUGUUCAUAAGCGACACGCAAUGUAACAGGAGUUGCUGCAGUCCCUAGAUUGUGUUGUGAUGAGAGCUGAUAGACAAAAUAAGCUGCAUAGGUUGUUCUUGGGGACAAGUUUUUAGUCUCUAUGUAUCCCUUGAUGUCAAGCCACCAUACAUAAUUGAGCUUAGCCACUUGGGAAAACCUGUCAUGUGAUUCACAUAUAACAUAUUAUUUCUGAUGCAGGGUUUUUUUGGUCAUAAAGUAUCCAAUUCCAAUAAAAGAUUACUUAUCCUACAACUCAGGUAUGAAUUAGCAUCACUCAAAAAUAUAAUUGAAGUGAUAUUUAGUAAGAUAAUGGUGGAGAGAGAGAAAGAGAAUAGAAUACCUAGACUCUGGCAGAGAUAUCCACCGCCAAUAUCCGGGUGUAUCUCCCCAUAUAACUGAAAGCCCUCUUGCCCCUACCAUAUAACAUUUUUUGCCACUCUGCUUUUCUAGUGCCAUGCUCUGUGUCAGAAAAAAAGAAGCUUGGACGAUUCGAUGAUCUUGUCAUCCAUUAUUCAUAAUUAAAGUAAAUACUGUUAACAUUUUGCACAACACUCCCAUUGAUAUCAUGGAUCAUCAUCAGUCUUUUCAUGAAUUAUCUAAAAUUGUCAAACAAAAUUUCUUUUUGCUUAAAUAAAUAAAAUAGCAAAUUUAGUAAAGCAUAUCAAAGAAUGGGAUUUCUACUACAUAAAUUGCAAAAAUCUCCCAGUAUCUAAAACCUAUUAAAUCUUAGAAUCCAAUGGAAAUGGGUUGAUUCUUGAAGGAAAAGUGAUAAAUCAUAUAAAUUUAGGAAAAAAAAAAUUGAAUGAAUGGGGUUUGAGUUAAUUACCAUGUUACCAUUGCCUAUGAUGAUGGGGUGAUUGCAAAGAUGAAAGUAGAGAUCCUUCUUGGACAAGGAGUUCAAAGAAGUGGAAAUGAUUUCCUUAUAAUCCUGGGGCAGAAAUCUCUCCCACACUAUAUCAGAAUCCGCAGCAAUUCUAAAGAGGGAAGAGACAAGCGAUGAUCUGCACGCAUCCAGAGGGGUUGUGCAGGAAACGAUGUGGGAGAUACAUUCUGCAGGCAACAUGCUGAUGAUACUCAUCUCUGCUUCUGCUUUUGCUUCCUUCAUUUUCUUAUGUCGAUCGUCUCUCUUUCCUCCCUUUUCCUCAUCAGCUCAUAGAGUUGAGCACAAUUCCAAGUCAAGUCAACCCACUUAACCGACAAAAACCAUUUUUUAUAUAUUUAUUUUAAUUUUAAUCAACGGGAAGGGACCGAGGGAAAUUCUCAAUCUGCUCUAGCAUUGGGGAUAUGGCGACACAUGUAACUCAAACAUUGGGGGUGAAUACGCCCUUUUUUUUUUUUUUUUAUAACUUGUCAAUGGGGUCUUUAUUCAUGCCCUUUUUGUUUUGUUUUGGAGAUAACUUGUCAAUGGGGUCGUUAAUAAAAAAUAAAUAAUAAAUAAACUUGCCAAUGAGGUCUGGCGUGAUUUUUUAUAAUAAAAAAAUAGUUAAAGUUUACCCAAAGCUUUUAUAAAUGUUUUGGUCCUCCCGAUUACUUUGGCAGCUAUUGUUGGUUUGAAUUUUUUAUAUAUUUUGUGAGAUGCCGUUAUAUAUAAAAUUCUAGCUUCAGCACUGAUUGACUGUUUUGAUGUCAAACUAAAGGGCUCAAACAUUUGUUGGAUACAAAUGAAGCGCAAUUGGGGACAAAAUUGGCAAACUAGAGGGGGCUUCCAAGGCCAAAAUUUGUCAUUUAAAGUGACUACUAGUGAUAAAAGGAUAACAAACUCUUUUAAUGUUGCAUCUGCCACAUGGCGGCCAAAAAUAUGAAGGGAGAAAUUUUUACGAAAUAAUAGUGUAGUCAUAAGUUAAGCACUUGACAAUAAAAUUGGAUGAGCAACGAAGAUUAUUUUGAACGAACGUUAAGUGAAAUGCAGAGUCUCAGUUAAGAUCAAUGCCUUCCACAAUGAUGCCUCUCUUACAGAAACUACUAGUUUCCAUUAAACUACACACUACAGUAGCAUUAUCUUCUUCAGUGACGAACUCACCCAUCUCAAUCUCAAUCCACCCAUCAAGUCUGUAUCGAGCUUGAGGACCAACUCUACCUUCAAAAGUUAGAGGGUAUGGUGUCACACUACGGCGGCCUCCAUAAGAUAGAGGGUCUAGGAUCAGACUACGCUCAACCGCAACUGCGCUUUUUUCAUAAGCGACGCGCGAUGUAAUAGGAAUUUUUCGUGUCCACGUAACGUGUUCUGAUGUGAGCAGAUAGACAAAAUACGCUGCAUAGGUUGUUCUCGGGGACAAGUUUUUAGUCUCUAUGUAUCCCUUGAUGUCAAGCCAGGAUAUAUAAUUGAGCUUAGACACUUGGGAAAACCUGUGAUGUCAAGCCAGCAUCAAAAUGUCAAUACAAUAUUCUAUGACCAUAAACUCCACUCAGUAAUAGUAUCAUGUCAGGGAUUAAAGGUAAGCCAUAGCCACUUUACUUUCUCAUAACCAUGCUUAUGUAUAUCAUGAGAGAGAAGAAAUUGUAUAUCAUGGGGAUAUCACUCUUCUGCUAUCCCUAUCCAAUCAUGUUCCGCAAUGUGAAAAAGUUAUUAUGCGUGACAAAAUAUGAUUGGUUGGGGAUAGCAAAACAGUACUACUAUCCCCUAGAUAUACAAGUUUUUCUCAUUCUGACAACAUUUUAUAUGUCAAACCCCACAAACUCACUAUAAAGGCAAAAAAAUCACACCUUCACAAGGUAAAUCACGAAAAAAAUAGAAGUGAUAUUUAGUAAGAUAUUGGUGGAGACUGGAGAGAGAAUACCUAGACUUUGCCAACAUUUUGGUGUAUCUUCCAAUACAACUGUAAGCUCUCUUGGCCCUACCAUAUAACUCUUUUUGCCACUCUGCUUUUGUAAUGCCGUGAUCUGUGUCAAAGAAAAAGAAGCUAGGAUGUUGUCGUUCAUUAUUCAUAAUUAACGUAAGUAAUACUGUUAAUAUUUUGCACAACACAGGUAGCCAUUGAUAUCAUGGAUCAGUCUUUUCACGAAUUAACCUAGCUAUUCAUGCCACACAGUAACCUAGCUACUAUCUAACACCAAAUGAUGACCCAAGAGAAUCAAGAAAUUUAGAAAAAUGAAUUAAUGGGGUUUGAGUUAAUUACCAUGUUACCAUUGCCUGUGAUGAUGCUGUGUUUGCAAAGAUGAAAGUAGAGAUCCUUCUUGGACAAGGAGUUGGAAGAAGUGGAAAUGAUUUCCUUAUAAUCUUGGUCUUGGGGAAGAAAUCUCUCCCACACGAUAUCAGAAUCCGCAGCAAUUUGAAAGAGGGAAGAGACCAGGCAUGAUCUGCACGCAUCCAGAGGGGUUGUACAGGAAACGAUGUGGGAGAUGCACUCUGCAGGCAACGUGCUGAUGAAAUCCAUCUCUGCUUCUGCUUCCUUCCUUUUCUUAUGUCGUCGAUCGAUCCAAAUCUCUUCCCUUCCUCUUCCUGGUGAUGUUCCCUUCAUAUCACAUAUCAUACAAACUCAACUUACUAUACUAGCUAGGAGAUAGUCAUCCUCACGCCCUUGCUAUUACAAUAGACAUCCAACAAGCCAUUAACCAAUCAACCACAAUAAAGCCCGCAACUUUGUGUAUUGUAUUAUGACUCGCUCUAAUUCGCUGUAUGGAAACUGUAAAGAAAAAAUAUGCAAAGGUAAACUCUUUUUAUAGGUUGUGAAACCCUAAAAAUGAACGGGCCUGUAAAUGGAUUACAUUUGGAUUGGAUCGAUCAUUUUAUAUAGACUUCUAUAAAAUCAUGAUUGAAUGCACCUAAAUUUUUAAACUUCUUUAAAAUCUUUGAAGAUCUAAAUUGAAUACACCCAUUAAGGAUAUUUUUUUGAGAAGGAGAAAUUCAUUCAUAAAACCACAGACGUACAAAGAGCGACAUGAUACAGUGGCCUCGUUAAAACCUUCUUAGGACAUCCUCAAGUGACAAAUCCCAAGGGAGGAAAGAGUACCACACAUGUCAUGGACUAACAUGAGAGUCCAAUUCAGGUCACUUUGGACCAUUACAAUAAAAGAACAAGUCAAAAACAAAACCUAACACAAAUACCUCCGACGAGAACCGCAAUUAGAGACCAACACAAUAGACCCACAUGAGAGGACUGUAGAAACCCCAAAUAGUAAACCCACAGGAGAGGACUGCAGAACAUCCCAAUUGUCAAAAGAAGCCUUAUAGGAGCAAAAUCAUAGUCCUUUGACACCCAUAUAAACUGUAAGUCAUACUAUAGCAGAAACCAGGAGAGAACACGGAGGACGAACAUAGAAACAACAGUAAAAAGACCCAUGAGAAGCACUCCACUUCAACUCAAAACCUGACAAAGAAAACCUCCUAUGACCAAUCAUAGUUCUUCAGUCGGCGCAGAGUAAAGACGAGCACCACAUCCCAACAACUACCACCAGCAUCGCUGCAGCCGCCGCCGUUAAAACAGAGACAAAACAUCAGCCACUAGGUAUCACAACUCUCCCAAGGAGAGACACAAUCCAACGUCACUACUGUCGUUGCCGCCGAAACAAAGACAACACUAGUUACCUAGAACACUGCAAAAACAACCAAAUAAAAUAAACAGACAAAACAGACCUAGAUCCAAAUAUAUCUAGAUUAUCUGGGGAGGGGAAGGGGAGUAGAAGAGGGGAUAAGAGGAAGGGAAAAUAGGGGAGAAAAGGAAAGGGAGAUGGGGAGAGGAAGGGGAACAUGGGCAGAGGGGAAGAGGGGCAGUGGCCACCUCCCUCCCCCUUAGCUUCCUCGCAGUUGGUUGUCAACAAGGAGAAAGGGAAUUAGAGUGCGGCUAUGGCAACUUCCCACCCAUUAUCAUAUUUGACUAAACAAAUUGGGAUAAGAUUAUUAUCGCAUUUAUUUAAGAUUUUUUUUUUUCCUUUUUUGAGUACAAGCAAUAGUCUAAACUAAAUAGAGGGGAGGGAGUUUUCUCAUACACGAUGCCAUGAGAAUUCGAACUUGAGACCUCACAAAUCAAUGCCAUUUUUCACUGGACUAGACCCCAUUAGCGCAUUUAUUUAAGACGUAGAAAAGAUUAAAAUCUCAUUAGUAACUUCAUUCUUUUAUUUUAUUUUAUUUAUGUUUCAUUCUUUUAGAAAAGAAAAGAUCACACUCUGCUCAAUAUUUUAUUUAUGUUUCAUUCUUUUAGAAAAGAAAAGAUCACACUCUGCUCAACCGCAACUGCGCCAUGUUCUUCAUAAGCAAGACAAAGUGUAAUAGGAAUUGUUGCAAUUUCUUGAUCGUAGUCUGAUGAGAGCUGAUAGACAAAAUAAGCUGCAUAUAGGUUGUUCUGUGAUUCGAUUCAUUCACAUAUAUAUAUAUAUAUAUAUAUAACUUAUAUACACAUCAAAAUGUCAAUGCAUUCAAUCUUUGAAUCAUGCUAGCUUCUUCUGAGGACACUAUAAGUAUCCAAUGAAAGAUUAAUUAUAUCCUACACCUACAACUCAUGUAUGAAUUAGCAUCACUGAAAAUACAUAAUGGAUAUUGUGGUAGAGAUAUCCAUUUCCAAUAUGUCCAACUGCAAGCCUGUUGCCCCUACCAUAUAACAUAUUUUGCCACUUUGCUUUUCUAGUACUGCCAUGAUCUGUUCUGUGUCAAAGAAAAGAAGCCUAGCCAUUGAUAUCAUAUCAUCAGUCUUUUCAGAGUCUCUGUUAACCGAUUAAGGUAAUGAAUAGUUAGAUUUUAGUGUAAAGUCCUUCGUGGAAUCGUGGGCAUUUCUCUCAAAUAUUAUCUAUGCAAUGGUUAACGUUUAUUUGUGCCCUAGCCACAAUAGAUGCUACAUACAUAUUUAUACCCACUAAUAUAUUAUAUAAAAGAAACCAUAGCUACUACUUCAUCUCUUGGAACUGUCUGAGAUCUAGCAAAGUUUUAGACAAUAAUUUCAAAGGGCACAAUCAAAGAUGGAAGCUUACUAGAGGAUGAUAAAUGGCAAGGCAACGUUACUCCCACUCGUUUAUAAAGCUUUCUUCCCCUCCUGUGACUUGUUCAUGGAAUCAAUCCUUCAUUGCUUGGGCCUAAGCUCAAUGCCUUCUACAAUGAGGCCGCUCUUACAGAAACUACUAAUUUCCAUUAGACUAAAUAGCACAGUAGCAUUAUCUUCUUCAGUGAUGAACUCACCCAUCUCAAUCUCAAUCCACCCAUUGCCUCUGUAUCGAGCUUGCGGAGGAGCUAUACCUUCAUGAGUUAUAGGAUCUAGGAUCACACUACGCUCAUCUGCUGUGCCUUGUUCAUAAGCAACACGGAACCUAAAAGGAGUUGUUGCAGUCCGUGGAUUGUGUUCUGAUGAGAGCUGAUAGACAAAAUAAGCUGCAUAGGCUGUUCGUGGGGACAAAUUUUUAGUCUCUAUGUACCCCUUGAUCUCAAGCCACCACACAUAAUUGAGCUCAGCCACUUGGGCAAACCUGUGAUGCGAUUCAUUCACAUAUAAAUAUGCAUCGCAAUGCAACGUAGUAAUAGUAAUCAUGUCAGGGUUUAAAGGUAGCCAUAUCCACUUUACUUUCUCUGAACCAUGCUUCUCUUCUGAGGACACUAUAUAUAUCAAACCCCACAAACUCACUAUGAAGGCAACAACAUCACACCUUUGCAAGGUAAUUCAUACUUAAUCAAAAUCGCAAUGAUAUUACAUAUUCUUUCUGAUGCAGGGCCUUUUUUUGUCACAAUCUACAUUAAGCAUAUUCUUUCUUAUGCAGGGUUUGAAUUAGCAUCACUCAAAAAUAUAAUUGAAUUGAUAAAUAGUAAGAUAAUGGUGGAGAGAGAGAAUAGAAUACCUAGACUCUGGUAGAGAUAUCCAUUGCCAAUAUGGGGGUGUAUCUCCCCAUAUAACUGUAAGCUCUCUUGCCCCUACCAUAUAGCAUUUUUUGCCACUCUGCUUUUCUAGUGCCAUGCUCUGUGUCAAAGAAAAGAAGAUAGGAAGGAUGUUGCUUGUCAUCCAUGGUUCCCAAUCAUAGUAUAAUAGUACACCAUUAAUAUUUAGCCAUUGAUAUCAUCAGUCAAACUUAGCUAUUCAUGCCACCCAGUGACACUAAUCCCCAUAGACAGAAAAUCAAGCUUGUUGAUGUUCAAAUUUCUUUUUUAUUUUUGUAAAUAAAAUAGCAAAUUUAGUAAAGCAUCUCCAACAAUGAGUUUUCUAUUACAUAUAAUUGCAAAAAUCAAAAGUUUAAAAUAAUUCAAAAAGUUUUUUUUUUCUUCUCUUAAAUCAAACAUCUUUCCUAGUAUCUAAAACCUAUUAAAUCUUAGAAUCCAAUGGCAAUGGGUGAUGAUGACCCAAAAGAGUUCUUGAUUCUUUAAGGAAAGGUAAUAAAUCAUAGAAAUUUAGAAAAAAAAUGAAUGAAUGGGGUUUGAGUUAAUUACCAUGUUACCAUUUCCUAUGAUGAUAGGGUGAUUGCAAAGAUGAAAGUAGAGAUCCUUCUUGGACAAGGAGUUCAAAGAACUGGAAAUGAUCUCCUUAUAAUCCUGGGGCAGAAAUCUCUCCCACACAAUAUCAGAAUCCGCAGCAAUUCGAAAGAGAUGAGAGACCAGCGAUGAUCUGCACGCGUCCAGAGGGGUUGUGCAGGAAACGAUGUGGGAGAUACACUCUGCAGGCAACACGCUGAUGAUAUUCAUCUCUGCUUCUGCUUCCUUCAUUUUCUUAUGUCGAUCGUCUCUCUUUCCUCCCUCUUCCCCAUAUUCUCUUGAUAUCUCAGAUCAUUUGUUGCUUUCAGAUGUGUAGGUCCCUUCAUAGUGCAGUGAAUAUUCUUUGACGCAAGCAGCGGCGGAUUCAGAAAUUUUUUAACGGAGGUGCAAAAUUAAUUAAGUAUGAAAAAUAGUUUUUUGGAAUAAUCAUUUUCUCAAGAUAAUUUUUGGCGGUUUUUAUUCCUUAUACAUCAAAUAAGAAAAUUUGAUUUUAUGGGAUUUUAGUACGAAGUAUAUAUUGGCUUAAUUAGCCAUCAUUUUUAGCAUAAAUCGUAUUUUGUACUAAAACUGAUUUUUCAUAUUUUGAUUUGGUAGGAAUUUGAUUUUCUAGUAUUUUAUUUGAAUCCAAAUGAGGGGUACUUUCUUAUUUACAUUGUAAACUUAAGUAAAUAGAAUAAUAUAAAAAUAAAUUAAAGUAAAAGGACAAAGACAUUUACUUAAAUAUUGAAAAUGGAAAUAAAGUAAUCUGUACACCAGUUGAGCAAAGUGGUAGUUUGAAGCACCUACAAUGAUUUUUUGGGCGAAGGGAGAUGCAGCUGCACCUCCUUGCACCUUAAUGGAUCUGCUUCUGGCCGCAAGUUUAGAAAUUUUGGAGAGACAAUUUUAACUUGUAUGAAACGAAAAUAACAUUAUUUUAAUAUUUCUGAUUAACAAUGCUAUGACAUGCGUGAUAACCUUUUCACAUGAUAUGGCAUUAAUGGUCUUUUUUUUUUCCUAAUUAAUGGUUGGAAAUAACAAAAUAAUAUUAUCCUCAUUGUAGGGCCAAGUAUGAAGACAACUAGGAAAACUACCCCCAAUGACGAAUCAUUUAAUGAUUUGAGCAUUGCAAGGAAUAAACAUAAGAGAGACGUUAGAAGACCUUUCAAAUUUCAAGAUGAGUGUAUUUAAUGGCAUGUUCUCUAAUUCGUAAUCAAAAUUAAAAUAAGGAGUUGAAUUCUGAUCACAGAUUACUCGUGUGUUACUUCACAUAAAGAAAUGUAAUUACAAGUAGGGCUCACACUAAAUUAGGUUGGGGUGUGCAAGAUCCAAUCCAAUUUGCUCAAGCCGAUCAAUCCAAUUCAAUCCAAUCCAAUUUUAAUCAGUUUCGGUGAUUUGGCGAAUUGGAUUGGAUCCUUAAUUUUCAAAAUCGACAUGAUUGGAUCGGAUGAUGGAUUUGCUUGUGAGAAUCUAAUCCAAUCUAGUUAGUUCAUGCUUCUUUUGCUUAUAAUUCAAAAAGUUAUGAACAUUUUAAGUCAUUUAAUGGAGUUUUAUGCUUAAUAUUCCAUAGAAUCAAAACAUUUUCACUAGCAUUACAUUUAUAUUUUACUUUUAAGUCUAUUAAAAUGUUUGAUUAGAUUAAACAUAAUAAUAAAUGUUUUAUAUUUCAUUAUUCUCUUUUUUAAUUAUGAAAACCAAUCAUCCAAUCCAAUAUCAAUUCGAUCAGAUUGGAUUGAAAAAAUCCAUAAUCCAAUCUACUUCGAAUUGAAUGCGGACUGGAUAAAUUACAUUGAUUUCAAACCAGUGUACAAAAUAAAUUGAGAAAAUGUAAAUUGUAAUGAAGGGUAUUUUGAAAUAUAAAAAGUACAAUAAAUCAUAUUUUAUUAGGUCACAUACUGAAUUGGAUCCUUUUCAUAAGGUGUUACUUAUAAAAAUCUUAUUAGGCCUCAGCUCAAUACAUUUCACAAAGAGGCCGCUCUUAGGAUUACUAGUUUCCAUCAUGCUACACUCUAGAGUGGCAUUAUGCCCUUCAUUGAAGAAGUGACCCAUCUCAAUCUCCAUCCACCCAUCUCCUCGGUCUCAAGCUCCUGGAGGCAUACCUUGUGGGGAGUCGAAGAUCACACUGUGCACACUCAUAACUACACCUUGAUCAUAAUUGACGCGCAUGAUGAUCGGUGCUCUUUCAAACCCGCUUUUGGAUUCCGGGAGCCGAUAGACUGGGUAAGCUGCGUAGGUUGUUCCCGGGGACAAAAUUUGAGUGGCUAUGCAUGCCUUGAUGUCAAGAAAGAAACCAUGAAAGUUUGGGCUCAGCCACUUGGGAAAACCUGUGAUGUAGUUCACAUAUGAAGCAAAAUCUCAAGGGGCUAUAACAACAACAUUGUUGAGACUUGAGAGUGAUAGAAGUGGUGGUGCGUCUCAAAUGGAAAUACCACCACUCACUCACUUUUUUUGUUUUUAUUUUCUUUCUCCCUGGAAGCACCAACUACUACCACGCAGUCAUUGCCAUAUAAAAGAUACAAUCUUUUUUUUUAUUUUCUUUUUUUGCCGUUAAAUAAUUUAAAUCAAUAUUUCGAAAUUUUGAUUGGGCAAUUUACAGUGAUCCUAAAAUAUUAUGGCUUAACUUCUGAAGGAAAUUUUGGGCAACUGUCCAUUCCAUUAUGAUUAAGGAAUUUUCACCCACAUGUAUUACAAUCGCAAUUGGCUCUGCAAAUAGUUAUAUAAAGAUUAUCUUUGCAAAACAAUCCAACUGGAGAUUUUAUUUUAUUUUAUUAAUCAAAAAUAAAUUUCAUUAGAUUAACUUCAGCAUAUUUUCUAUCAAAUAAUUAUAAAUAGAUAUUUGAAUUGAGCUAUAUUAAUUAUUGAAAUGUGAAGUUUUAUGGCAUGUUGAGCUUUAGGAUGGUUUCGUAUUCUAGAAAAUUAUUUAACUAUGGAGCAAGUUGUGGAUUUGUUGGUUGUAAUUAGGCUAACAAUGUUGAAAAAUACAAAAGGAAAAAGAAUUGGAUUUAGGCCCAAACUGGCCGAACCAAACCAUCUUAACUUGAUUUGGUUUGGUUCGUUUCUUCAUUAAUUUUAUUAAUUAAACUGUUAUAUUGUAAUUUAUUCAGUUAUAAUUUUAAAGUAAAACCGAUCCAAUCCAAACCGUACUCACCUUUAGUCUGAAUUGAACUAAGACGUUAUCAUGAGAGUUUUAAUUGUUACGCAAACUUUUGAUUUUAAAGAUCAUCAAUAUUUAUUUUAUUUUGAUUUUUUUAUAGGGUUAUCUUAAUUUUCUCAAUAUUUUAAAAAUAAAAGAAUAAAACAGAAGGAAAAAACAAAAACAAAAAAGCAAAUUGGCACACACGCAUUUAAGUGGUAUUUUUAUUUUUAUUUUUUAAUGAAAAAGACGUUGUGCAUAGAGGCCGGCCCUCUUAAAUAAAAUCCAAAGGAAAUGACCCUGGGCCUGAGCCGGCCCGGCCAAUAUUCCGCUUCUCAGUCCACCAAUCUUGGUAGGUUUUGAGCAGUCAUGGGGUUUGCCUUGACCAGCCCUUGUCCUGUUCUCUACAGCCACCCACAACAACAAUUCAUAACUCAACCAUUCCCAUCGACCCCGGCUCACCACCACUACCACCACCAAACACAUCGCAUCAAACCAUAAACCCUACCUGAUGGCCGAUUCACCUUCUAAAACCCUGGAACACCAAGCUCCAACGCAGGCCUCAAAUACCGAAUCAGAUUCCAAACCCGUAGACGAAGAGAAGCCCCAGGAAGCUGAAGGGAAUCCACAGAACGCGUCUAAAGAAGAAGAGGAAGCGGAGGACGAUGAGGAGGAGCCCGGUGAAUGUGGGUUCUGCUUGUUUAUGAAAGGCGGUGGCUGCAAAGAGAGCUUCACAGCUUGGGAACAGUGCAUUGAAGAGUCUGAGAAGAACAAGGAGGACAUUGUUGAGAAAUGCUUUGAGGUCACUUCGGCUUUGAAGAAGUGUAUGGAGGCUCAUCCCGAUUACUACCAGCCCAUAUUGCAGGCUGAGAAGGCCGCUGAGGCAGAGGCUGUCAAGGAAUUGGAGAAGGAAAAGGCUGCUGAGAGCUCCAAGGAUCAAAAUGCCGCCGCUUCGGAGCAGCAUUCGGAUUCCAGUGGCGAGAAAGAUGCAUAGCCGGUUAGGUGCUUGUUGAUUUGUCUCUGUCAACUGGAAAAGAAAAACUAUAUGAUUUUGUACCUUUUCACACACCUAAUUGGUAAGCAUGGUCAGUCGUCGAGAUUUUUGGAAAUUAUUUUAGUUGCGGAUAUGAUUAGUGGAAAUUCAGAGACUUGAAGAUCAAAAGUGUUUGAAAACUUGUAAUUUCUGUGAUCACAAUAAUUUUACUUGGAUAAAACCAAUAACAAUCACUAUUUUUGAAUUUAUAACUGACUCUGUUUGUGAAUCAAUUAGUUGCUGUCGAGUUUCUGGGUUUUUGUUUCCAAUGCAAUGCUUUGUGUUUGUCUGUCUGUUUGAAAUUUUGUUACAUGUAUUUGCUAUGUGGUGGUGACAUGAUCACAUUUGCACAUGAAUAGUGUGUCUUAUAUUUGAUUAGUCAUUCAAGUUGAUGUGAUGGAAUCAUCUUCUAUCUGAUUAUUGCUGAUCUUAAGGCCUCUAGCUGGAGUUUAGAGUUGAUGAGCUAUACGACAUGUAUAGUAGCAAGUAAAACUGCGAUUAGUCGUUGCGAUGCGAUCAAUUAGAGGUUUUGUGACUACCAUGUAAUGCACCUACAUAUUCAGUUAGUUAUCAGAUGGUUCCCCAAGUUGUAGGCUUUUGAGAUAUAUACUGUAAUAUAAUGAAGAGCUGUGUCUUUAAAAAAAAGUUUAUCAUAACUGAGUAGUUAGAUUUGAACAUGGACAAUAGGUACCUUGAAACAGUUUAUGCAGGGGUGGUUCACAUCAAUUGCAUUUUGAUAAUUACCUACUGUUUUACAAUCUUUUUGAGCACCUAGAAAGGUUCAACAUUGUGGUAACAUUUUCCCUUCUAUCUGUCAUGGUACCUGAAGAUUGCGACAAUUUUGGCGGGGUUCAACACCUCAAGUAUUGUUCUCUGGUCUAAUAUAUCUCCAUCUAUAAAUUGUGUAUCUGAAUUAUGAAUCUGGUUAGUUUAGAUGCUGGACUUUGGAUCAACUUUUCGUAGGGUCAUUGGUUCAAUUUGGAUGGUACUGUGCUUUAACAUGAAUGUGAUCUGUGCGUUGGUUUUGAGUGCCGAGGUUGGUAAGACAAAUUUGGUGCUGCACUGGAAACGCUUAUAAUUUCAUUUGAAGUUGAUCUGAAAGACAAAAUUGUUGCUGCACUUGAUUCAUAGCAUGUGGAUUUGUUACAUGUAGCAAGCUUGAUCUGAAAGAUCUAGUUUUCUGGUACACUUGUCCAUGUCUGCCUUUUGCCUAGAAGACCAGCAUGGCAUCUUAACAUGCUAAGAGUUCUUCCCAGAUUACUUUGUAAUCACUUAUUUCCAGCCUCACAUUUAGUGUGAGAUUUUUUUCACCUUGUACUGGCAUUACGAAAUUUCCAUUUUAUCGACAAGCAUGGUGAUAGUUUCGUGAAAAAUUGACCUAUUCCCACAUACAUGUAAAUAUAUGUAAAAAAUACCCAUAUAAUGAAUUAACUACACGGAGGGUUUGGAUGAAAACUAAAACAAAACUGAAACACACAUAAGAACUUAAGAAGCUUUUAAAAAACUAAGUGUGAGAUCAAGAUUAUUUUUAUUUAUAAAGAGAAUAUAGCACCAUUCUAUUGUAUAUAAUCAAUUAGACCCUUUUUUAAUAUAAUAAAUAUUUAUGUGCUAAAAAAUGAAAUCAAAAGCAAACGUCUCCCACACACACCCACAUACAAUUGAGAUAUCUAAGGCGUAACUGUAAUGUCAAUUCUCGACGAAUAAUUUCCCUUGGCCUGUAGCGAUAAAUUUACCAAAUUGGACAUUUACAUUUGUAUUUCGUCCACAUCGUCCUUCACGGGUUUAUUGUCGAGGGUGUUGUUCACAGAUUUUCUUCUCCGAGGUUUUGGUUUUUACUUUCUUGGGUUUUACUGUCGGUAAGGGAGAUGAUUUUUCCCGUGGACAAUAUCCAAGAAGUGGUGCGGUGGUAUAUCACUUCAAAGUACUGUUCUUUUGAAAAGGUAUAUCACUUGUCUCUCCAUUAUGUUUAUUUCUCUUGAAUUGCUCUUUGGUUUUGUAAUUGUGCUUGAGUUUGUUCUCAAUUUGAUUUUCGUUUCUUCUCACCAAUAUCAAGUUAUGUUUUCUUUCCUUUCUCUUGUUUUAGGUGUUGGGUUGGUAAUAAACAGGUUAUUUAUUUAUUUAUUUUCUCUUCUCCUCCAUUGUUGGGGGGCUUAAAGUCAUUUGGAUUUUCUUACUUGAUGCUGCUUUUAGUUUUAAUUUUCUGAUUUUAUUUUUCUGAUGUAGGGUGAUGAUUUCUGUUGGUGGCAUUGCGGCUUCCGUGUGCAGACCCUAAGGGAUGUUCAGAAUUCCUCUUCUUUCUUCUCUUUUUUUAUUGUUUCCCCUUAAGUUGUUUAGGCGCGAGUCUUUUUUAAAACCACGUAUUUGUUCAUGUCUCUCAUGCUUGGGUUUUGGAUAGUAUUGGUUGUUUCAAUGCUAUUUUUUGUACACUCUUAUAGUGCACCUUAACUAAGGCAAUAUACAAAAUUUUAGAAAUUAAGUUCCAAUGUAGGUUGAUCAGCAUAUUAAUUUUGUAUACAAAUGCAACGUAACAAAUGAGCGCUAAAGAAUCAUUAAAUGCAUUGUUCAAUUUUACAAACGUUAUUUGGUAAGAUUUAUAAUCCAAAAAAAGAAAUAAACAUUGUACUCCUUUUUUUGACGGAUUUAAACAUCGUACACUUGACUAAAACAAUCAAAUCAUGAACCUUGGACUAUGUGAUGACGAAGAUGAGGAUGAUAGUCGCAUGAGGGAGUAAAUGAAGAAAAAAAUAUAAGGUGAUAAUUUGUUAAGUUUAUCACAGGGUAGUUUUUUUGUAAUAUGGUUUUCCAUUCUACUUUGAUGUUUAAAAUAAAACUAAUUUUCAUAUCCUAUUUCCUGCUUACAACAGUGGCUGUUUUGCAAAGUAGAGUUGAGCCAGUUUUUAUUACAGUCUGAGUAUUUGCAAUGGUUAAGAUCAAUGUAGUUUUAUUGAAUAAAUUUGAACUAAAAUAGUAAAAUACUUGUAAUGGUGUGAUUUAGUUCUUCGCAAUAGAGGGUGCUAUGUGAUGAACCCUCUAUUGAAUUGCAAUAGGCUAACUGUGGGGCCCACAUGCUAAUAAACUGUACAAUUGCAAGUAAAACUGCAGUUCAAUUCAAUAGAUAUCAAAAUAGUUCAAUAAAUUAAAUUAUUACAUUGAAUUAUUGAACAAUCAUAAUAUGAAAAAUGCACAAUAUGUGAUUUUCUCACAAUCAAAUUUUAUUGUAGCUGUAAAUUAUCGUUAAUUGAGAAAGAAAUUAGAAAAACAACUUGUCAUUUAAUGAGGUAUGUGAUAUCUUGAAGGAGGAGCAGACACAUGCUAAAUAAUUGAAACCAAAUCCUAGGAAGAAAAACAUUUCCACUAACCAAUCCAGUACCACUAAAGACAACCAACAUAAUCUGCUAAAUCAUCGAAGGCCAUUCACCAUAUAAAUUGACUGCAACACUUGAAGGAAAAAAGAUGUCUCAAAACAAUGAGCAACGAUGUAGCUAUGCUAGUGCUAACAAAAACAAAGCAAGCGAAACCUUAAAAGAAAACAAUAAGCGGUGCUUAGAUAUGAGUCCAUUUUCAUUAGAACGUAAUGGAUGCUACCAAGGAUUUGGGGUGAGCCAGAUGAUUCGUUGCCUUAAUAAAUUUAUACCAGUAUAGAUAUCGUGUCUUAUAUCCAUAUUCUGCACAUCAAUAGUGUCAACGUUGAUGGUGUCAUUCAAUUCAUGGCAUUUCUUGUUAAGACAAAUACCUUGUCUAUCCAUGAAAUUUUAACAACAUGAGGAGUCGAGGAGGUUGUAUUGGUUUAUGUCGAGCAUGUCUGCAACUCUAGUCUAAUUGCAAACUAAUUAGAACACUGGUGUUUUGAGGAUUCCUAAUCUUAUAUGGAUUAAAACAUCCUAUCAUAAUACAAUCAUAAUUAUUUGAGUGUUUCUUGAUGGAUAAAACACUUAAGUAAGUGCAUAUAUAUAGAGGUAUUUUCCCUAGCAAUCAAUACACUCAUACGUAAAUCUCACUCCAUUUAGAGAGAGAGAUAGAGAGAGAGAGAGAGAGAGAGAGAGAGAGCACUUAAAGACUACAUAGGAGAAGAAGAUCCUUAUUUCCACCAUUCAAUCAUGUCAGAUCAAGGUUAGUAUUAGAGAUCAAAGACUUGAUAAAACUUACAUAUGGUAUCAUAGCACUAGGUCUUGUUUUUUAAUCUAACUUUUCGAUUUUACAAGAUAUGCAUAAAGUUUAUUUGAUCAUUAGUCAUGAAGCACGUAGUAUAAAACAAUUGCAUAUCUUAUGUGAUAAGGUAUAAUCUAGAGCAUAAAUCAUUUUCUGCUCGAUCAUACUUGAAAGGCUUUUGAUCAAAGAAUGAAAAUUACAAUUGCAUAAGUUAAGCGAGUCACAAUAGCUUAAACUGUUACAGAGGCAGUUUUUAAUUGAUGAAUUAGUCAAGAUUUGUAUCACAGUUCAUAGCCCUUUAUACAACUAUUGAUCCACAGAUGAGAGGGGUGGAAAUUGAUAAAUAACUGUGAUGGAAUAACAUGAAGAAAAUGUUUGGAUAGAUUAACAGGGAACCUCUUGAUCCACAAAUGAGAGGUUACUUGUACAGGAAGUUUAUUCAAACCUUAAUAAUUCACUACUUUUGAAUAUGUUUGACUCAUAAUCCACAAAUGUGGGUUAAUAACAUUUAAGUAAAGAUCUACGAGGAUAUUUUUUUCUUGUUUGUUUUGUGUUUAUCAAUUUACAGUGAAUACCUUAAACUAUCAAUCUAUUGAAACAUUGACUGGAUCGAUUAAAUGCCAAUGACGCAUAUUGAGAAUCAGAUGUCUCAAAAGUAGACAUUUCCUUUAUGAAUCGCUUCAAAUAAUACUUGAGGCUUUCACCGGCCUUUUGCGUUGUGCUGAGUAAUGUUGUAAUGUCCUUUUUUCUCUUUUGAUAUUGCACACAUAUUGAGAUUUGAAAGAUUUGCAAAGCUCGGUGAAGCUGCCAGUGGACUUUGGCUUCAACUGCCUGAACCACGUCAAUGUCGACCCCGACAAACAUGACGGACAUAGUUUGCACAACAACCUUUCGUCUUCACUUUCGAGGACCAUCUGUUGAUGAAAGUGAUAAAAAUGCUCGAUGGGAUCAAUUAUGCCUUUGAAUAAUUUAAACUUGGGCUAUGCAAACUUUGUGGGCUUCUUAGUCUUCAGAAUAUCAUCGGUGAAUGGCGAUUUGCAGAUCCCAUUUGCAGCUUCCAAGGUCAACUCGGCAUGUGUCUGCGAUUUGUAUCCUUUCACAAUCUUCUCGAUCUGGCUUCGCAGCUCACUGUCUUUGAACUUUUUCAGUUCCCUCAUAUGGUCAUGGUUGUCUUCAUGGUCGUUGCGCUGAUCAUCGGAGUGGAUACUCCAUAUAACACUAUCAUUUCCUUCAUUUUGCUUCUCUUGGGGCCUUCCUGAUUCAACAUUUAAUUGCCCUUGGAUUUCUCUAAAGCUUCAACUGCCAUCUUCUUUGUUUCACGCAACUCCUUCAGUAUCUUCUUAAGCCGGAUAUAUGCGAGACUAGGUUCUCCUUUCUAUAAGUUUGGUCUGACAUCUUCAGAUCGAUGAUUAGAUAAGGUUGAAGCAUCUUGUGCGGCUCAAACCAUUGAUUGAUUUUGUCAGAGUUCUCACAAAUGAUGACAAUUAUUGGAGCAGAAAUUCUUACAAUAAGAAUAUCUUCCACAAGUUCUCGGCUUUUCUUUGCAUGUAGGAUAAUUCAAUGAAAUCUCCAAGCAACACUCAUCCGAAAUCAAAUGAGAGAGAUGUAGGGUAACUCCAAAAGUUACUCUAACGCUCAAGUCAGUUUUACGCAUUUGAGUGCACAAGUUAAUCCGAAAUCACAUACCUCGAUCUGGAUGUGAAACCUCACUUUUAUACCUGGCGACAACCUUGGGAUGCAAGUUCCACUUUGCACAGUAUAUGCAUCUUGACCUUUUUCAAGUCACUAAGAGUUAUGGGGGAUCAACUCUCAACCACGUUUGUCUUGUUCCGCAAUUCAUGAUGUCAUGGAAGGAUGUGCAAUUGAAUGGACCGUCGACGGAGUCGCAUUAGGUUGAUCCCACGUCAAAUGAUAUUCGUCUAAUCUUGUGGGUUGUGACGCAUCCCAACCUAUGUUGUUGGGUUGUGCACAUUGGAACCCAAGUAGUUGACUUGUACACAUCAGAACCCAUAUUGUUAGGUUAUGCACGCAAAAACACAAGAAAACAGAAAGGACGGAACUAAACAUCCGCCUAAGAACUAAAAGCACAAUUGACAAGAAUGAACAAACCGCAAAGAUGACCUAUUUUUAUCAAAUCUACUUACCAUCAUAACUAGUUGAACAUGCAUAGUUGAUUGAACAGGUUACAUGUAGGUGGUUGAACAUGUUGAACAGACACAAGUAGUUGAACAAGUUGCACAAGCAUAGGUGGAAUAGGGAUAUGAAUAAGCACAUAGUCAUUUUGCAUUACAGAAAUAUAUUUUCACAUACUUACUUACCAAAUGUAUAUAUAUUACACAUAAGCAAAUCUAUUUACCAUAAAUGAUUGAACAUCCAUUAGGGUUGAACAUGCAUAGGCGAUUGAAUAGGUUUCACAUGUAUAGGUGAUUGAACAGGUUUGCACAUACACAAGUGGUUGAACAUGCAUAUGUGAUUGAAUAGGUUGCACAUGCAUAGGCAGUUAAACAGGUUGCACAUAUAUAGGUGAUUGAAUAUGAAUAGGUAAUUGAACAGGUUGCACAUGCAUAUGUGGUUGAAUAGGUUGCACAGACACAUGUGAUUGAACAAGUUGCACAAACACAUGUGAUUGAACAAGUUGCACAAACAUAGCCGACAUAGUGAUAUACAUAAGCACAUGGUCAUUCUGCAUUAACAGAAAUACUUAUUCACAUACUUACUUACCAAAUGCAUAUGUAUUACAUAGAAACAAACCUACUUAUCAUUAUAGUUGGUGGCACAUGUAUAGCCACAAGUGCUUGCACAUCAUGAUGAUGCAUUAUGAAAGAAAGUUGAGUAAAUGUGUCUAAAUUACCUUGAUUAUCGUGCUCGACUUUCAAACGCAAACUUCAACUAGAAACAAACUCAUUUUGUACAAACGCAUAUAACUAACACUUAUGAAUAAAGAAUAUGUUUCAAAAGAAGAAAAAGCACAAAGUGAGCGCGGAAGGACCUGAAAAACAUAGAGUGGUCCUGCAAGAAGAAAGGUCACUUGAGUUUUCCGCUAGUUUCUUUGAUCCCACUCGGUGUUCCUUUUCCAUUUGCUUUCUGCUGAGGUUGCUUCUGACGGGCUUGUGACCAACUCGGUAAAAACCCCUAGUGAAAACUAGGAAACCCACCUCUUCUUCACCGGGAUGAGAAGCGCAUCAGACUCUGCAUCUUCAUCUCUAUCCAUUUCCCGCAUUUUGUACACACUUAUUUUCUAAAUUGGCAUAUAACCAACCAUUUUGAAUUAGAAACUCAUUUCAUAAAAACUCAUUUUAUACAUGAAAUAUAACUAACCUUUCAGAAUUAGAAACCAUAAACCCUAAGCACUCAAGUUAGUUUAUAUAUGUAUUUGAGUGCACAAGUUAAUUCAAAAUCAAAUAUAUCGAUUUGGAUGUGAAGCCUCACUUUUAUACAUGGCGACAACAUUAGGAUACAAGCUCUACUUUGCAUGUCAUAUGCCCAUCUUCACAUUUUUCAGGUCAUUGAGAGUUAUGCGAGAUCAACUCUCAACCAUAUUUAUCUUGUUCCGUAAUUCAUGCGAUCAUGGAUAUACGCAAUUGAAUGGACUGUCGGAGGAGUCGCAUUAGGUUGAUCCCACAUUAGAUGAUGUUCGUCUAAUUCCAUGGGUCGUGACGCAUCCAAACGUAUGUUGUUAGGUUAUGCACAUAUGAACCUAAGUUUUUAGGUUGUGCACAUCAAAACCCAUGUUGUUGGGUUGUGCACGUCUAAAUACAUGUUGGGUUGUGCACAUAUGAACCUAUGUUUUUGGGUUGUGUGCAUCUAAACCCAUGUUGUUGGGUGGUGUACAUCCGAAUCCGCAUUAAGUUAAUGUACAUCCGAACAUGCGUUGGGUAGUAUAAAUCCGAACUUGUGUUUAGUUAAUGCACAUCCCCCGCAUCGGUUGCACCUAAAUCUCAUCCCACAAUGUGGUGGAAUCGAUACCGAAUUUAUUUGCUUCUACAUCCACCACCGUACAAAAUUCAAGCAUUCAAGAUAAUCGCAAAAGUUUUCUCAUUUCCUUUACAUUGAAAGAUUUUACAACCCACAAAAGAGCAAAGACAAACCAAUAUUAGAGUUACAGAAACUCAAAAUCCCAAAAAAUAUGAAAUUAAAGCCAAACAAACCAACAGUAGCAUACAAUACAUAAACAUGUUUCUCAACUAAGGAUGGCAACGGGUCGGGUAGGGGUCGGGUAUGACAAUACCAUCCCCAUCCCUGCUCUCCAUCCCCGCCACCAUCCCCGAACCCAUCCCCGUUUAUUAGGUUUCGGGAAUUCCCCGUCCCCGUCUCCGUCAGGGGACUAUCCCCCAUACCCUCCCCGAAUCUCCGAUUUUUUUGCAUACAAAAAUAUUUAUCAUACAUUUUAACAUUAACUUUCAUAUUAAAUUAUCAUUCAACACAUCCAAAUUAACUAUAAAGUUAAACUCAACUAUUCAAAAUCACAUCAAUAUGAAAUUCCAUAGAAAAUUAGGAAGAAUUAGGAUAGGGAAGUUAACUUAGGGUUAAACAUAAAUAUUAUAAUUAUUUAAAUAUAAACAUAUAUAUUUUCGGGUCGGGGUUCGGGGAUGAGGACGCCAAUACCAUCCCCUCCCCAUACCCGUCAGGGAUUUUUCAAGUUCGGGGAUCCCGUACCCGAUACUCAUUUAGCCCAGAAAUCUCCCCUCGUUAGGGUCGGGGACCCGCCCCUACGGGGAUUUUUGCCAUCCCUAAUUCCACCCCUAGGCUAUUCUAUUUAAAAUUCAAAAGUGUAUAAUUUUUAGGAAUUUUUGCGUUGUGCUUAGGGAUGGCAACGGGUCGGGUAGGGGCCGGUUAUGACAAUACCAUCCCCAUCUCUGCUCUCCAUCCCCGCCCCCGUCCCCGAACCCAUCCCCGUUUAUUAGGUUUCGGGGAAUCCCCGCCCCCGUCCCCGUCGGGGGACUAUCCCCCAUGCCCGCCCCGAAUCUUUGAUUUUUUUGCAUACAAAAAUAUUUAUCUCCCCUCGUUAGGGUUGGGGACCCGACGGGGAUCAGCCCCUACGGGGAUUUUUGCCAUCCCUAAUUGUGCUAUACUAUAAAUCCCUUGCUUCAUCAAGCCACCCCAUUACAAAAGCUUUCAAACCCUAGAGCAUUUCGAAAAUUGAACUUCAGUUCAAGAAAGAACAUACUGCACAUCAGAAAAAGAAGAAUAUAAGAAUACAGUCCACAGGAUUAUCACAUUUUUUUAAAUAAAAAAAUCUCUAGGGAUGCUAUAAGCACAUUUUAAUCUGGGGUAUCUGAAGAAGUGGAAAAGUCCCGCAGAUUCCAAUAUCCCAGCUUAUAGCAUGCAGUUUGCAGCGGACAUGCCACGGUAGAGAAUGUCUUCAAAACACUCUUCAGUUUCCUUUAAAAAAAACUCAUUUUCCCAGAACGAAAUGGAAGAAAAUGACUUAGUGCCCCCUCUUCAGAACAGAGAGAAAAAAGUGCUGAUUUCGAGCCGUAUGAACACUACGUUGUAUUUCCCACUGCGUGCCCCUGGAAAAGGAUGGAAAAGAAAAUCAAAACCAUAAGAAGUAAUCUUUUCUUAUCAAAUUUUCAUCCUAAGUAGAUUACAGUUAUCAAUAACUAGAAGAAUACAGUAAUGUCUUUCCAAUUCAGUGACUCUCAAUACUGCAUCUUGCUCACAACAUCAAGGAACUGAUGAAAUAAUAAAAAACAGAUCACACAUCACAGGGUGUACAAGUAAUCUCUUCUCCAAUAUUUAUCCUUGAUGUGAAAAGGAUGAAAGCGUAAAUUGGACAAGAGAGGCCAUGAGUGAUUCUUUUUUUUUCUUAAAGUUUAAAAUAAAUUUAAAAUUUAAAAUUAACUAAAGGCAAGACAGGAGAGCUCUGAAAGAAGAAAUUAGGUACAUUAGGUUGAUGAGCAAAAAUUUAGAUGUGAAUCAAAUCUACUUCUGAAAGACCAAUUUUCGACUGGAUAAUGAAAUUUUCAGAAAUUUAAUGUGCAAACAACAUUUUUUUUUUCAAUCAAUUCAAGUCACUUACAAACACAAACACUGAGCUUUUCAUGAGUUCAGCUAUUUGCCUACAUCCACAAGCGCACCCAUUGACCAGACGGACCUAAACAAGUCCAUUAAAGUACAACCCCAACAGCCAGUUUUACUCAUGGCUUCAUUGCCAGCCUACUAUAAUCUCACUUUUAACAAGUCAUUCAUUCUAACAAGCUAUGGUCUUAAGAUUUACAACUUCUCCAAAACUGAACUAAAAAAUAAGCUAUAUGAGUAAGUCAUUAUGUGUGCAAACUGUCUCAUUUACGUAGUUAAUGUCCAAUCAAGCACAAACAGUCGAAACAGAACAAAGAACAGAAAAGAAGAGAACUGAGCAUACCUCAAUGCUGUUAUCCAUUGCCUUCUAUAGGACGAAAGCACAAUGGCUCUAUAUGUAAGUCAUUCAAAUUUUGGCAUUUUGAUCUACCGCUGCCACAUCACAGUCAACCAAAUAGUGUGUGGUUGCUCACCUCAAAAUAGACACACUGAAGGGUGGUCUGAUUGUUUCUUUUUUCUUCUUUAUGAUUUGCUACCUACCCAACCUAAGGGCAUCUUCAUUCAUUCAGAAACCCCAACCUGAAAUGGUUGAUCUCCAAAAUAUCUUUUUCAGUUAAGAAAAUUAUGCUAUUUCAGUCUCCUAACCCUACCCUAGUACACGGUGACUACCUAAAGAACUCCAAUAACCUGACUAUGUGUUGACAUCAUCCUGUCUUAGCUAACAAAUUCAUUUGGCGAAGAUUCCAUUGAGAUAACAGAUUCAGUAUACUUUUGUGCAGACAAUACAAAACUUUAUGGCAUGUCAAGUGACACUGACAUGAAGGAGUAACCUCUCGAUCUGUCUACUCUAUAUACUUAGUCAGCAUGGCUUUUUAGAUUUCUUUUCAAAUGCUUAAUAUCACUAAGAGAGAAAAUCUGAAAAGUUUCCAACUGACCACCCAAAUUCUAAUUGUUAAAAUUGUAGAAAGUGAUUCCUCUUGGUUUGGGGGAGUGGGGGAGGAUUUUUUGCAUCUAAACAAAAAUAAUGGACAUUAUCUAAUGAGGACUUAAGUUGAAGACUUAUGUUCUCAUUCAAAUGCCUCCCGACACACACACAUUUAUACCAUAUACAGACUGGAUCAGGAGCAGAUGUCUUCAGUCCACACUUGAACCGUGGUCUUGUUGAUGAGAUCAAUUUUAGAAAAUAACAUAUACAUAUAAUUAUACCUGUGGUUCUUUCUGCAGUUUGCUCAAUAUAGUAUCCAAGUCUGUGUGCAUUCUUAAGCCAUCUGAAGGUAGUUUCUUUAUCAAGUGUAGUAUUGCUGAGGCAGCUUGUUCCUGAAUGCAAACAAAGGGAUUAAAAUCAGUCAGUUCUAGCUGUUUGCCUGCCAGCAAAUAACUAAUGGGGCAUUUCAAAAUAUAAAAAGGAGGAAGAAAGUGUGGAUGGAUUUCAAUGUUCAAGAACCAAAUGAGUAACAGAAGAUAAAAAAAAAAAAAGGCAGAUUGCAGGAAGAUUUUAAAAAAGAAAUACUUGAUCAAGAUUUUUAUUUUUAUUUUGAAUAUUAAACUAUCUCCUCUUCCAACAAGUAAACCUGCGCUGCUUGUCAAUACACAAUGGAAGACUGCUCUGAAUGGAUAAUGUUGAGACAGAAACGAAAAGAUUCAUACUUUGCUUAGUAUGAUGACCAAAAGUGCAAAGAUACAGUAUCAUAAUUGCAAAUACUUUGGACUAUUAUAACUAUAAAAUAUAACUGUACUAUUAACAUGUCAAAAUUAAUAAUGAAAAAGAGAUGAGUGUUACUGGCAAAGAAUAAGAGAGAGAGAGAGAGAGAGAGAGAGAGAGAGAGAGAGAGAGAGAGAGAGAGGAGUGUUACUGGAAAAAAAUAUAUAGAUCAAAGGAUCCUUUCUCAAACACAAAUUAAUCCUAUUUAAACUGCAAUCCUAACGAUACAUAAAAGCAUGUCUACCUCUGAAAAAAUCAACACAUAAUCACCAAAUGCCUAAAAUAUAGCCAUCUACGAAAAAGGAAACCAUCAUUAAUCCAUCCCCUGUCACCAUAACUUCUAAACCAUCAUCUUUAAAGGUUUUAAGCUCAGGAAAAAAUAAUUACCAGGAUGGGAGCUUAACAGAAAAUAAAAAAUAAAAAAUAAAAAAUCACAGAGGAACUUUGCCUAUAAAAAAUGAUUAGAGAGAUAUAGCAAUGAGGUUACACAAUCAUGAUGACUGUAUGGAAAAAAUAUUUGAUAAAAAAUAACUGAGAAUGUAAUUAAUCACCAAAUAGCAUAACACAUAGUAAAUUCAUAACCCAGACCUUUACUCUUGGAAUUGAAUGUCGGUCAAGUGCAGUAACCAGUGCAGGCACAAUCCUCAAAUGAUGGAGGAUUUGCAUUGCCUCUAUUAGGGUUAUAGGCAGUUGCAUAAAAUUAAAAGCUGCACAACAAACUCGAGAAUGGGGAUCUUGGAAUGAUUUCAAAAUAACGCUCGUAACUUGUUCCAAACAAUUUUUCAUCAGUACCUGCAGUAAAGGAAUGGGUUGAGAGACACUGAAGAUCUAAGGAUCAUAUACAAUCAUGAAAUAGUAGGUACUGGAUACUAAUUAAAUACUAAGUUAACACAAAUUUGUGAAUAGUUCAGACUGUCAGGAGGUAAUCUAGCUUUAUCAUUAACAAACCUUAAACCCCAGAGUCUCAGGCCAGAUGUGCAAAAAGGAUACAAGAGAUACAAGUAAAACAGAAAAUGUAUAUGGUGUAUACAACAUUCCUUUAUUUUUUAUUGAUACCUACACAAAAUAUUUAUUGACUGAUUGAACCAUAUCGAAAAUAAGCAGGUUAUACUUGGUAAACCAACUACCAUUUUCCUUAAUCAUUAUACUUAGAGAAGGUGCAAUACAGUAUCAUAUAAAUAUUCCCAAAUAUCAGUUAAUAGUAUGUAAACAAAAUUCAUGCAAAAAACCAGGCACAAAGCUAUUACCAUUUCGCCGGAGCACUCCUUUGCAAUCACUGCAAGCAUAUUAAUUCCUGCGUGACGCUUCUUCCAAUCGGAAGCAUCCAUGUACUCCAAGAACAACUCAAAAGCAAUGGGGGUCAUUGUCUUUUCACCUAAGGCAGUUGAAAUUUUUGUCAGGUAUGCAAUUCCAAGAUCUGUCUUCCCGACAUUCGCACCCUGGUCACUUUCCUUGUUGUAACAUGCAUUGUCAUCAUUUAUACAGAGAAGCAGUUUCAUUGGGACUGUGAGCAGCCUAACCAAAGUCUGAUAUGGUAACCCCCUCAUCGUAAGUGCCAAAUCGCUUGCUUCUGCUAUGGUUAGCAAGAAUUUGUGAACAAACACUUUGGUUCCCUCUGUCACUUGUUCACUCUCUGCUAUCUUAAGCAUGUCAAGUACUAGUUCAUUAAGGUAUGGCUUCAAGAGUUGUGGCUCUUCCAUUACCAACAUUAUUAACUCUUUGAGAGCCCCUCGAGCAUAGUCUUCUUUCAAGCGACUUAACAAAUUAAACAGUCCAACCAUCAUCCCUCUCAAAAGGUCAUGAAACCAAUUCCGCCCUGAUGAAUUCGAAAACAAAUGAAUCAAACUAACCACAGCACUAAAUGUGGCGACCUGAAUAUCAGCAUUUUCCGAAUUCAAUGCACUUAAAAAAGCCAAGUGUAUAGGUUCAAUGCUGGGAGCUAAAGCUUUACAAGCAACCGGCCGGUACACUUUUGGCAAAAAAGCAAGCACCCACAAAGCAGAAAGUUGAAACCUUUCAGAAUCCGACUGAAAAGACUUCAACAAAAACUCAAUGAAUUCUGGCCAUUCAUUGCCAACCCCAGAAAUCUCUGAUGCCAUUUCAGAUGCAAUGGCACAGAGUAUCCUCAAACUGGGCAAUGAACACUCUUCUUGAAGAGAAACAAGAAAGUUGUUCUUCAUGUUAAUUUGAGCAUUCAAAGACAACUUAGGCCAAAGGUCACAAAGCACAAAACGAAGAACCAGGGCUGACCUGGCACGAAUGUCAGCAGAAGGGCCUUGCCUAAUCACAUAGAAGAGCUUUAUGAAUAACAAAUCUGGGAAGUGCUUUCUGCAACAAUGGAGAAGACUAUAGGCUUGAGAUCGUUGGGGUUCCUGGGGGCUGAAGAGAUGAGAGAAGAGGGUCUCCAUGGGAUGCACAUCUUUGGAACUUAGAACGCCGUAGGCUUGUGUUUGCAAUUGCACAGAAAAUUCCGAGUCCAUCGUUCUUCACUUUUUUGGGUUUUCAAAAAUCGUCAUAUCAAAUGUGGGUUUGGCGGAGAAAUCAAUCAGAAAAGCAGAAUCGGCUACAAGUUGGCCAUUG